ACAAAAAAAAACUAGGUAAAACUUCGACACAAAAAAAAAAAAGGUAAAAUAAUAUCACUCACCAUGAGUUGUCAGAUAGCUGCUGCACUUCUACUCGCUUUCCAACUGCAUCCUUUCCCAACUUUUUCAAUAUCCAAUUAGCAUCCAUGAUCUCGUCCAUUAAAUUAUCUUCAACUGACGGUCCCCUAUCAUUUUCACUGAAUGAUGUUUUCUCCAUAAACGGUGGUCUCUUUCUUUUUGAACGUUGGCCCUUAACAGAGCUUUUUUCUUCAUCAUGCUGAGAAGAACUCUGGCUUUCAACAUUAGGUUUCUUAAGCUUAAACUUCAAUGAAGGCUUAUGUUCUUUGGAGGAAGAUUGUGAAACCGGUGUUUGGCCAGAUUCAUCAUUCUUGUGAGCAGAUACGGCAGACCUGCUUUCUGAGUGCUUCCUUGAAUAAACCUUGUUAUUUUUCAUAGUGGGGAUCUCACCUACAGGCUCACUUGCAGUCGUGCCUUCUUCAGUGCUUUUUCCGGAUGAAACAUUCACCUGCUCUGGAGGAAUGCCUUCGACUACCUCAACCCUAUCACUUUUCACAAGUUUGGGGUUAUGAUCCGGUGCUCCUGACCUUACCCUUCCCAACUUUAUUACAUUCCCUUCUCUUCCAGCAACCUUCGAACCUAUCACAUAAAAACAAAUUAUCAAUUCUAUCUGCAAAUUGUACACCACCAGGAAGGUUUUGAUUACAUAAAAUAAUGAGAAUUGACCAAGAUACUAAUAAUUAAAUAGGAAACAGAUAAUAAUCAAAUUUAAUAAUCAGGGGAUUCUACCUUUUAUACCUUUAGCAUCGCCAAAAUUAGCAGGACUAUCAUGUUUAUUUUCCAUUGUUGUCUUCUGGCUCGCAUCUUCACCACCUGCUCAUCAAUAGAAUAACAAAUCAUAAAGAGAGUGAGAGAGAGAGAGAGAACAGUAUGACAUUUGUUCCCCAUACAGUAUACAGAUGACAUACCAUUAGAGGUCACGGGAGCAUGCACUCUUUGAUAGGUUGAAGCAUCAGAACUUGGAGAUUUAGUAAUAUUAAUCUUUUUGGCGCCGAAGUUUAUCACAAGCUUCUUCUCUUUCACAGGCUUAGACUUACCAGCAUGCUUUCCAGUGUCCUCUCCACUAUCCAGACCAUGAGACCUGCCCUUGAUACGAACUUUGGACGUCCUAUCUCCCCCAUUUAACAUCACUUCAUCAACAGACUUGUGCUUCAAUGCACUUGGCUCACUGACAGAGAAGAUCUCUUCAGUAUGGCUCAUACUUCCAGCAGGAGGUGAAGAAUAUACUUCUGGUUCUGCAUUUUUGGAGGACUGCAUCUCAUCAUUCUUGUCCGACCCAAGAUACUGGGAAUCAUGUCCUCGAACACUCUGAUUUGCUUUGGUACUAACUGAAAUUUCAUGGUAUUCCUUCUUCUUAGCAGGAAUUCUGAUCAAGGAUUUCUUACCACUAUCCUUGGUCUUUUUUGGCGACUUAUCAACUAAUCCUUUGAGAGACAAUUUCAAAGAGCGUCCAUAUUCACUCUUUUGUUUUGGGGGGCCAGUUUCUUCAUCAUCAGAAUAGGGUGGAAUAGAAAAUAUUUCUUCAUGAGCUGGCAACCCUGCAGCAGCCCUUAAGCUAGUAAUUAAAUCUCGUUCAGCUUCGUCUUUUCUCUUCCAAAGCUCUUUCGCAGCAUCCUCAUGAUUCUUGACCUGGCAGAAGAGAUUCAACAGAAGAUCAAUUCUUUUUUUUUUUUUUUUUUUUUGGGGNNNNNNNNNNNNNNNNNNNNGGGGGGGGGGAGUAAAACUGGUAUCUAAAUUUAGCAGACCUGAUGGCACUCUCCACGACAUGUGGCACAUUUGUACUGGAGAUUUCCAUCUAACUGAAAUUGUUGAUAUUUUUCAUCACUGGAAAAAGAAAUGACACAUUUAGUAUACAAAAAUAAAUAAAAGAAAAUAACUGAUACUAUAUUCGAAAAAUAAUUGUGCGUUUAUAUAAGGAUCGAAGGGAGGCCCGAGCAGAAAACAUUCAUUUAACAUAAAUGCAAAAUAAUAGAUAUGAUUUGCCUGCUAGCAAGACCUAAGGCUUUAGAAAUCUGAGUAACGAGAGAGAGUGAACAUAAUGACAUGUCAUUCCAUUACUUUCCCCUAAGAGAAAUUCGUCUUAAUGGUAUACGAACUUUUGCUACUUAUAAACUAUGGUAUAUCAAGUUUUAAAAAUAUCAGAUUGGUAUCUCAUGUUUCCAUCCCAACCUAGGAUUGAUAUAUAUAGCCAUUAAGAUGACUAAUUUACCCUCAGACAAAAAAAAAGACCAACUUACCAUUAAAUUCUCUCUCUUUUUUUCUUAGUUUUCAUAUUCCAAUUUUCUUUUUUUGGCUUUUUAUAUUUUUAGGAACGUAGAGAAAAAAUUCUUCGUCAUUUUCUCCUUGCUAUUAAUCAGUUCUUCAUCUCAAUCGUCCUUGAAUGUCAACAGCAACAACAAGAUCCUUGACUGUCAGCGAAAACAACAACAAUUGAACUUCUGUAUGUUUCCUCUCUUCAAUCUUCUUCAAGUUUAUAAAGACCAACCCAAAUCAUCAAAUUCCAGAACCUCUUCUAAUAUUUCUGGAAUAUGAAAACAAAUAUAAAAAAAACUAAGAAAAAAAAGAGAACUCAAGGGUAAAGUGGUCAUCUUAAUGGCUAUAUAUGCCAAUUUUAGGUCAGAUGGAAACGUGAGAUACCGUUUUGAUAUUUUCAAAACUUGAUAUACCAAAGUUUAUAAGGCGCAAAAGUUCGUAUACCAUUCGGACGAAUUUCUCUUCCCCUAAAUGAAAUUACAGAAUGAUAUGUCAUUCCAUUACUUUCCACUAAAUGAAAUCAUAUCUCCUAUUGAAAUUGGAUGAUCAAUCAUUUUCUUGAUAAAAAAAAAAAAUCCUUCAGAACCAGCGAAAUCAAAGGACGAGACUAAGCAGAGUACUUGUUAGUAUAAAAAUAAAUCAACCUGAUCCCAUCACAAUGGCAAUGUACCCAACGCUGGCAAAUAUCGCAGCAGACCAUAGGUGUUGAUUCUGAGUCUCUGUAAACCUAUAAAAUGGCAAAACCAAAAAAAGUCAAGAGUGUAGAAAGAGGACAUAUUCCAAUGAGAUGGUUAAAAAAAUAAGAUAUAUUGUUUAAACUAACUAGUACAUCAGGGCCCUUCCAUUGAGGGAUCCCUAUUUUUAGUCACUUUUAGGGAUAAGCUCACAUCAUUGGAUCUGUCAUUUAAUGAGGUUGGAUGGCUGAGAUUAAAACAAAAAGUUACACACUUUAUAUCAAACCUGGACCGUUCAAGAUCAUUAAAAAUAAAUUGAAGUUUUGAAUGGGUUAACGAUCACUAAAUUAUCUGAAAAUUUGUAUAAAUAAUCUACUCAUAUAACCCAAUGAAUUGAACGGAGUAGAUGCAAAAAUUUGAUCGGGAAGUUGGUGUAAUGCCCUAUCCUUAGAAAUAGUCAAAAAUAGGGAUCCCUCAAUGGAAAGGCCCUCACUAGUACAUACAUACCGUAGCUCUUAAUAAUAAUUAGCUGAUCAUACAAAUGCAACAAAAAUCAUAAAAGUCAAUUAAAACAAAUCACCUCAGGAAAAUAGGCUACAGAAAUAUAUAGUACCUUCAAGCAAACAGGGCAAUAGUUCCCCUUAACAAAUAAUCGUCCACAUGCAUCACAGCAAGUGUAUCCCAAAAACCACCUGUCAAUUUAACCAGCGAAGCUUAAGUCUAUGACGUGCUCCCAAGUUAGCUAACUGGGUGAUAACAGUAAGAAACUUAAAGAGCCCAUAACAUGUUCCUAAUUUAGAAGGCUUUCAACGACAUAGAGAAACUAUGCCAUAUGCCAAACACUAAUACCACAGAACAUAAUAAUAGGCAUGGUGUGAGGACAGAAUCUAAGAAGGUGCAGAAUACAGAAAACUAAGAUACUACCAACUGAACUAAAUCAGAAUAUCACAAUAACAAUCAUCUUAUCAUCAGUGUAGGCAAAGAAAAAGAUUAAUAGAUCAAAAUAGUAACAAUACAUACCUAACACUUAGACCAUUUCCUGGCACGUUUGACCCACAGCUGUGACACUUUGUAUGUUUUGGGCAUACAUAAACCCCAGCAGAAACAUUCUGCAACAUGCAUGAACAAAUAUAAGCAUAUUUUCAACCAAAGAUAGGAAAUCAUGAAUAUGUAGUGCAUCCCACCUUGUGUGAAGGAUGUUGGCAGUAACAGUGGUAAGCACCAUCACACCUUUUGCAGAACAUAAGCUUGUUUGGAUCUCCUGUUCUUCGACAUACCUGGAGAAAUGAUGCAAUAGGCACCUGGUUAAGAAGUGCCUCUUUGGAAACCGAAUACCAGGAACAUUGGCCCAUACCAAACAAUAUGGCAUCUUUGGUAUAAAAUGAAAUCUAUUAAAGAAUCAUAGGUUAAAUUAAAUGAAUAAGUCCUCAUGAAGUGUUAUUAAGAGACAAUUUAUAGCCUAUGAUAAUAGACCAAGUGGAGGGAUAUACAGAAUGUAGUGGUGGCCAAAAGCCCUAAUUUUAGGUAUAGGCAUCAGACUAAUCUGUUUUCAUUUAUCAUGGAUCAUAUUAUUAGGAUGCCUACAAAUAUUUAGGGUUAUGAGAGUUACAAUAUAAGAGAGCAAUGAUCAAAAUAGGAAAGGAAAAAGAAACAUACAUAUAAACGAAGGCAUAUCAGGAGGAUACUAGAAAACACACCAUAUUGGGUGUGCAUGCAAUAUGGAAACAUUACUUUCGUAGACCAACAAUAACAGAUAAUACUGACACACUGAAAAGGUAAUGUAGGAGCUUGAAUAGAAAAUACAUGUAACAACAUGGACGAGUACUGCAAAUCACUCAUUUACCUCACAUAUUCGGCACGACGGGCAUGCCCAUGAACUCCAGUGAAAUAGAUCUGCAAAGAAGUUCCAUUACAUUAAUAUGUCAGAUCUAUAGCCUCCUACAAAAGCUUGGGAACUAUUAGUACCUCUGUGUUGAGACCAAGUUUUCAAGCAGUUCCUAUGGUACUUUUUGCCACAGGUUUUACAUGGAAGCAUCCUUCUUGCUUUCUCACUUCCUUCAUUUUCCCCAGAAAAGCAUAUCCGACACAUAACAUUGGACUGACCCUGCUCUUCUCCCACAACUCCUUUGGAGGUGUCCUGAUAACAGGAAGAAAGAAAUGAAUGAAAAGUUGGUAUUUUCAACAUAAAUAAAAGAGGUGAGUAGGGGGAUAGAGUAGCAGAGGAUCGAAAAGAAUUUAACAGCUAAAUUUUUUUCAUCUAAAUCACGAUACUAUAUGAAAAGGUUUAAAUGGCACAAGUAUGUCAUAACAAUAAGGUUAUAACGGAAAAAAAAAAAAAAAAAAAAAAAGAAGGCCCCAACAUGUCAAAUACAACAGAUACUCUAAAAAACUUGCAACUAAACGGAGGUAUGCCAUUCAAGUAACAGAAAAACUUGCUUGGUCUCAUAUUGUGUCUAAAGCUAAUGGGGUAUAAAGUCAAUAUAACCCGAAGCGGGUAAGGGCAUUUCAACAUAAUGUUCUAUUCCUUAUCAAAGCAUAUAAAUUGGAGUUUUUCAUAGCAUGGCAUCUUGAGUGUGUAGCUGGGAAAUUCUAUAGUCAGGGAAAAAACACAGUUGCAUCUUAGUUAAAGGUUAUAAUAUGAGAGUAUAAACCCUACUCUGGGUUCUUACGUUUAGAAGCUACUUCAAAGCUUUUUGCAUUUUUUUGCAGCUAAAAGUGCUGCAACCACUUAGACUCACCCUUUACUACAAUAAUUUCACCUAUGUCUCAUAUUUUCUCCUAGUCAAUCCUAUUGGCCUUUAUAAGAGAACCAAAAACUGACUGAACUUGUCCAUAUCUCAACCAUCUUAACCGCAUUGCCUGCAAAUACAAACAUGUCAUGUAUCAUAAUAAAUGGACCCCUAUUACUCAAAAAAAUUCCCGGUUGGUAAAUCAGAAGCAUAUCUCAUUGCGGGAAACCAGCAUGAGCCUGAAAAACCUACAAGUCAAUAUCUAGCCGAAACAGUCAAAAUCUAAUAUCCACUCCCUAACCACUUUCCCAGUACCAUAUAUAAUCUCAGAUUCCUUAUUUCGCAAUCAACUCUACAAAAACUCGAAACUCACAUAACAUGCAUUCAUCUACGCACAAAUACAACCCAAAAAUUAUCUCCAAAUUACAGCCAGUAACUCCAAAAACAUAAAAUUCUAACAAGCAGAUGCAUAGCACACAAAAUUCAAAAGCAUUGAAUUCGAAGAACCUCACCGACAAAUCACCAGACUCAAAGCGGCGAGCAAAGUCCUCAGCGGCCACCAUAUCCGCAGCAGCCUUGCGCUGGAGAGCGGCCCGCUUGGCCUGCGCGGUGGCCGCAGCUGCCGACUCCUCAUCAACCGUCGCCGCCACCGCAUCCCCAACGACCGACGGCGGAACCGGCAGAGGAGGCGGCGGAGGCGGCGGCGCGACUCUGGGAACAACGACCUGGACAGUUCUGCCGUCGUCGCGAGCCCUAAUUCCGGACGGAUCGCUGAGAAACUGAUGGACUUUGAUGACCUCGUCGAGGAAGCUCGCCUUGGAAUUCGCGGUGGCGAGGGAUCGAGGAAACCCUAGCGGGCAGAAGCAGAUUCGCCGGCUGAACACCACAACAGAGAAGAAGUUUUAGAGAGAGAAAAUGAGAGAGGGUUUUAGAGAGAGAAGGAGCGUACCAUGUAAUUGGGCAAGCGACGUGAAAUGCCAUAUUGCGAUGAUACAAAGGGGAUUUUAGAUUUCCAAAUUUUUUUGGUGUUCAGGGAUCUCGCCCCUCCUAAAUUUUUUUACUUCGCGAGGAAAAUAUAUAAAUAAAAAUUAAAGUUUAUAUUUUGGAAAAUAAUUUGGUUUUAUAGGUAAAGGGGGUGACUGUGAUGACGAAGAAGAGAGGGGAGACACGAAGAUAGAAACAGGGUCCUCCCUCUCUGUGCCUGUGCGUUUUAUUUUCAAUUUUGGGAUUUCUCGUGUCGUUUCGGGCUCCUUUAACAGCGAUUUGUGGGCCACUUGGUUAAUACACAUAUAACAAUGGGUCAAAUUAUAAAUCUAGAAUUUUAAACUAUCCAUGGUGACAUGGGGUGAAUGUUGGUGGUGGUCAUUUUACAUAGAAGAAAAAUAUGUCAUCUAAAGGGCCAUGUGGUUAAGUUGUUACAAAUAUUGAUAUGAUAAUAUGGACCAACACAACACAUUCAUGUUAUUGGUAUAAAAUAAAAAAAUACACCGAGCAGAUUACGUGACAAACGUCUCGCUCGUCAUAUUUACCUUGACUAUUAUAAUAACUCCUGCCGUAAUCUUUAUGUGGCAUGUAAAUUAAUAUCUUGUAGAGUUACUAUAUAAACUAAUUCUUGGUUCUAUAAUUUUCUAGAAUCUCCUUCAAUAACAAUUAGCUUUUUAGUUGUAGGUUCGUGUAUCUUGGUUAGCUUUAAACAUACGGUAUAAAGGCGAUGUAGGUUCAGAUCUCCGAUGCACAAAUGGUGUCAAAUCGGGAAGUAUAUAAACUCAUGCCUCUAAAAUCCUGUUUGGGUAUAUAUUUCUGAUGAACAAUGAUCGAACCUGAUUGUCACACCCCAAUUUUCGAAAGAUAAAAUUUCAAAAAUUUGGGCAUGAUAAAACUCAAAAUCUUAAUAUCCCACAACCUGCUCGACAAAUUCCAAACUAAAAACAAAUACUGUAAACUCAUGCCUCUAAAAUCCUGUUUGGGUAUAUAUUUCUGAUGAACAAUGAUCGAACCUGAUUGUCACACCCCAAUUUUCGAAAGAUAAAAUUGCAAAAAUUUGGGCAUGAUAAAACUCAAAAUCUUAAUAUCCCACAACCUGCUUGACAAAUUCUAAACUAAAAACAAAUACUGUAAAUGUAAAUGUAAAUUAACUCCUCAACCGAGUUAAACACUUAAUCUCCUUAAUUACAUUAACUUUCAAAAGUCUAGUAAUAAACUACUUCGCUCACAUGAGCUUCAAAACAACCACCAUAAAAUACAAAUAAAUGUAUAUCAUCAAAAACCCAGCUCCUAGGCCACUGCCUCAAACCUUCUGAUCAUCACCUGCAGGUCUAACCCCUACACCAUGAAUUGGUGCACCGGGUUGUAAACAACAAACCCGGUAAACUAAAAGCUCGUAUGAGUAACUCCCAAAAUAUUAAUUCAACAAUCCCAACAUCACAUAUAAUUAAAAUUGAUAAUUCCUGCAUUAAUAACUUAGUUCAGGAAUCACCUAAAAACAAGAGAAUUCAAAAGAAGCAAUUAAGAAAAACACCAUAAUUCAAAAUCACUCAAAAUCAUAAAUGAAACAAAUAAUUAACAGGAAACACAACAAUUCACAAUCAAACAAAUCAAAAUGAAAUUCUGCAAAAAGGCAUAGUUCAGGAAAUACUUAAAACAAAGAAUUUUAAAAGACAACAUAUAAGAACAUCAUACAAUCAUUUCUCUACUCUUACUUAUGAGUUCGCCAACACUUAGUCAUCCCCCAUAAGUAACCAACAAUGCGUACUCAUGGGUUCAUCAACACUUAGUCAUCCCCCAUGAAGUACCGACUGACAGACUAGAGCUCUAUACUGACCGUAACCAAUCACCCGGCUAAGGCUUGGUUCCCGGUCCACCACGAAGGCUCCUAAUCUAAGAAUCACCACUAAGGCACACACAUACAUAACUAAUGCGCAAAACCACACUAAGGCACGCAUUCAAAUACUCUCCCAUCAUAACACUUAUCAAAUCAUAAAUUAAUAAUAUAAUCAUAACCGUAACCAAUCACCCGAUUAAAGGCUUGGAACCCGGUUUGAAUAUUUAAACAACAAUUCACAAUAUAAAAUAUAUCAUCGACAACAACACAAGAACACUUCAUAAAUUAUAUCUUUCCGCCUAGAUAUAUUUAUAUAAACGAAGACAUAUAUAUUCUCACUAGAAUAAUAUAUCAACAACCAUAUUUCAACAUCACAAUAUCACAUGAUCGGAAGUCCUUUUGAAAGAUUCUAUUUUACCAGAAAAUAUAUUUUCACUUACCCAUAAGCGUUGAUGAUCAAACUCAUUUAUUUUUAAAACAAAAAUCAUUUUCCUUAAAGGACAACUUCACAACUAACAAUAAUAAAAUUAUAAAAUAAACUCGGUUUCUUAUGAACCCAUGUGAGAUUUACUCACAAUAUAAAAAUUGCAUCAUAAUCAUCAUCACCAAAAUCAACAUCACAAUCAUCAUAAUAAUUGUCAUCAUAACAAUUAUCAUCAUCAUCAUUAUCAAAAUCGUCACCAUAACAAUUAUCAUCAUCAUAAUCAUCUUCAAAAUCAACAUCACAAUCAUCAUCAUAUUAAUUAUAAAUAAUUGGUCCCAAAGUGGACCUUGGUGAGAUGUUACUCACCUCAAAUCCAGCUGCGUCUUCGCACGCACAACACAAACAUAUAGUACAAAACCACACCCACAAGUCACUUAUUAACAAAAACGUUAACCUUAGCAACUAUGAAAAACAACAUUAUCCGACUCGAACCAAAACUCAAGUCCUAACCCACGAGCUUGCCACUUGAGACAAAACUUCCUCCUUGACCUUUAAAAGGUCGCCGAAACGUCCAACACAUCCUAUAGAACUACUAACCAGAUUCUCAUGUUCGGAUUUACUCAAAAAUGAAACGAACGAAACUUAACACCACGGGGAAACCCUAGAAUGCAAUAAUGAUAACCAAAACCUACAACCCACAUAUCAACACGCUCGUAUCAAAGAGUACUAUCUAACCAGCACCACAAAACACCCCAGACACUACCGGACACGCCACCACAGGCGGCGGCGAGUGGGCCCCACGCGCCACCACGAAAUGUCUGAAUUUGGGCAAACUCAACACAUUAAACUUGUAGAUUGAGGAGAGAGGAGCAUCUUUUAUACCUGAGGGUCCAACCAGUUCGACCGGAAUCGGCCGGAAAUCACCGGAAACUUGCCGGAAAAGUUGGAAUUCACCACCACCACUCCACACCGAGAGUCGAGCUUCAAGACCACCGGAAAAUGAACCAGGUCGCCAAGGAGCUCCUAUCCCGACCUUUUCCAAGUUGCGUCGCCGCUGCCGGAGGUGGGAAUCCCGACCGGUCUCUAAGCCGAACUUCCAAGCUUCAGGUCACCACUUCGGGACUGAAUCGGCGUAAGUCACCACCACAAGGUAGCUCGGACGGAGGAGAGGAAGAGAACCCGACCGGUGCCGACGUCUAGGUCGGUCGGAGGUGGCCGAAAAAUCCGGGUCGGGUCAACCGGGUCCGGGUCGGGUCGACUGGGAAACUCGGAUACUGAAGGUGAGGCGGGAGAGAAGAAAAGAGGAGAGAGUGAUGUGGGACAAAAAAAAAACUGAGGGAACCCUAUAACUUUUUCAUAGUUAUACUAAAAAUUUCCGAAAACCACGAACUUCUGCUGACCAUAACUUCCAUAUACGAAGUCCGUUUUACACGUGCCAUGUGUCUACGAACUCGUAUCGUCGUGCUCUACAACUUCCGUGAAGGAAGUUUUCCGAGAAACCCAACAGAUUAAAAAGUCAACUCUUGACCCUUCAAAAUAAAUCAUUUUCAAGGAAAUAAAAACUCGACUACUUCUAGUCCACUCACUAAACCAGAAAUCCAUACAACUCUUACUUAAAUAAUUUCCAAAAAUAAAAUUAGAAACUAAUAUUAAAUUUCCAGGGUAUUACACUGAUCCAGUCCUACUAUAAGGCUUUCGAGUUUAUGUAAACCAUCAGAGCUCUCACUCUCUCACAACAAGCCAACUUAAGGUUUUCCCAUCCAAAUCACUUGUAUUAUGUCGCUCUUGAUCCUAGUUAUCGGCUGACGAACCUCUCGGUCUCGCGAAUCUCUCUAGGGCAAGCUUUGGGUUGCUGCAACCUCAUUUGGUUCUCGUGGGGACGUGCAUUUUUUUUCAAGGAUGAUGGGGAUGACGGGGAUGACAUAGUUUUUCUCCGAUGGAUCCAAAUCAAAUAGUUUUCUCCGAUGGAUCCAAAUCAAAUCUGGGAUCUUGUGUCUGCCAAGGUUCAAGAUGUCGGUAGGGCUGGUGUAGGGUUAUGGGAUUGGGACUUCUUAAGAAUUGGGGCCUGGAUUUGGGCCCCAAAGUCUUCGGUUUGGGUCUAGGUUUCUAGGGCCUUAAUUGAUUGAUGUUCAAGUUUUCUUUAGCUAUGACGAAUCAUUUUUUUUCCUGCUUCGGGCAAUCGGGCUUGGGCUUUUAGUUUGUUUGUUGAACAAGUGUGUUUUAUUCUAUCAAGUGGGUGUAUUGGGGCUUUUGGAUCUUAUUCUAUUAGUAUAGGUGUUGAAGCUCUAUAAAAUCGUUCUUUCGAACGGUUUUACCGCUUGUUAUUCUAUUAGAGUCUAACAAUCAUCGUUUCAAACAAAAACCUAAUCCGACUAGUUGUCUAACUCUCUUGUUAUCUAUAGUUAGCCACAUCUUCUAGGGUUUCUCUGGCUUCUCCUAAGGUUCUCCAAACGUUGUUGCUUCGCACCCCAAUCCCAUUGGCACUAGGUCCAACGAGGUCUCAUAGAGAUUUGCCUCCUCUUUAGCUCUUCCCGAUGGAGAUUGACCUUUGGUCGGCGUCACUCGCUCUACCCCGGCUCCGCAAUAGUUCUUUGAUGUAGGCCAUCUUCUCACCCUCAAGAGAAAGGUCUUAGAUUAGAAUGCGGUUAUCGGUACUCUAACCUCAGUAUGAGAUCUCCAGAAUCGCCUCCAGAUGCGUGCAAGAGAUGAUCGAUUUGUGUUGCUCUUCAAUAGAGCGGAAGACUAGAAUUGUCACAUCUCGGUUCUUAAGUCAAUUUGCGGUUAUUUACUUUUGGGUUACUUUGGUCUUUCACCGCUUUAAGUAACCGUUUACUGUUAAAGAACCCUGGAGUUGACUUUUUGUAGGAAAAUUAUUUUGGGAAAAUUUCUUUAAGGAAGUCGUAAAGGACAUUAAUACGAAUCCGUGGACAUACUAUACGUUAAAAUCGGAGUUCGUAUGUAAAAGUUAUGGUGUAAAAUGUAAAGUUACUAUUUCGGGAAGGAAGGAAUAAAAAGGGUCAAAGGUGGAAAGUCAAAAGUGAAAAGUCAGAUUUCACUUUCACUUCUCUCUCCUCCCCCGCUCGGUUCCCGACCCGGUGCCUUCUCCACCUCGGUUCGCCGCCGUCCGGCGGAGUUAGGCCGCCAUACCGGUUGGGAUUUGAAGCUUGGCUCAUACUCAGCUGAUCUGGGUAGCUGGCCGGUGGUGUCGCGCCACCGUGAGGGAGAAAGAGCGACUGGAAGCCGCGGUUGUGUGCAGAGGUUUUUCGCCGGAAACUCCCUUUUCCGGCCACCAUAGCUGGAGCUGCUAGUAUCAUUUGGAAGCUCUCCUCUUGUGCAGCAAACCCCUAAAACGAUACAUCCUAACUCGAGGUAGGUAAGGAGAAUCGAAGGUUUGAAUUUUCUAGGGUUCUUUAUUGUGUUUUUGUUCGAUUGGCAUGUUUAAGCUUGAAAUUGGACUUGGUGAUAGUUAUGAAAGUUGUUUGGGAUGUUGAGAGGAAGAUGCUGUUAAAAUUUGGUAGCCAUUGGGGGCCGCUGGAGUCAGCCGCCGCUGCCGGCGAACGCCGCCACUUGGAGGUUGUUUUUUAAGUUUUUUGGGUUUGUUAUAAUGAGAGGAGUCUAAUGAAGUAUAGUUUGGAAUAUUUGGAGGAGUUUUGAUAAGGUUUGGGAUUUUUAAAAAGAUCAAGGAUUUUGCCGGUUAUUAGAAUGAAAAUCCGGCCGUUGGAUUUCCUUGGUAUUUAUUAUAGAAUGUUAGAAUUGAUGAAUUAAGGUUGUGGUGGAGUUAUGUGUGAAUCCGGCGAGUUUAACCCUAUUAAGAGUAGUGGGUUAAACGGAAGAGAGUUAGAUGUUUUUAUUCACGUAUUUAUUUUUUGGAAUUGAAGUUUGGUUCUAAGCAUGGUUGUUGUGCCAGGAUGCAAAGGGAAUCUCGCUUGAGUGGCGAUGCGGUUAUCGUCGGGCUUAUGCCUAAAUUUGUGAGUGGACAUUUUGGUUUUAAAUAAAUAUGCAUGCAAGAUUUUAUAAUCUAUCAUUUUAUUUUCCGAGCAUAUAUUAUAAUUUUCAGCUCAUGAGUUGAUCUUGAAAAAUUAUUUGAGUUUGGUGCAUUGAUUAAGUGUUGGUCAUGAUUUAUGGAUUUAAGCUCGGAUUAUUAUUUUGAUAGUUGAGUUUGGAUAUUCCUUAUAUAUUUCGGAUUUCAGUAUAAUGGUUUUAUUGGUGGACUUCGAGAUUUUUAAAAGAUUUCCGAAAAUGGGAUUUUCGGUAGUUCUCCAUCAUAAUUUAAUUGUUAUUUGAGGCAUAAUGAUUUUGACUUGGAGAAUAUUUUAGUGAGUAUUUUCAAGUGGAGAUAUUAUUAUUUAUGAUUUAUUUUUGAUAUUGAAAUCUCGCUUAUAUUUAUAAAUUUGAGAAGAUUAUGACGUGUGAGACACGUCAUUGACUUUUAUUAUAAUAUCUUAUGAUGAUUUUCAAGUACGGUUGGGAACCGUACCAUUCAUGUGAUUUUAGGGAAGUUUAUUGGAUUUAAGUGAUUUCGUAUGUUUUUAAUCACCAUAAUAUAGGGUUGAUUUAUAUUGAUUAUUGCUAGCUAACCUUAUUAGCGGUCCUCAUCAUAUGUGAGUCGCUAGUAUGCCCUUAUUAGCGGUCGUCUUCAUAUGUGAGUAGAGCGCUUAACGUGGGACGCUAUUAUAGCCUGGGAGGCAACCGAUCGGUAUUUAUAUUUAUUAGUUAGCUAGCCAUUAUUAGCGGUCCUCAUCAUAUGUGAGUUGAGCGCUUAGCAUGGGACUCUAUUAUAGCCUGGGAGGCAUCGACCCGAGUCUUAGAGGCUCCUUUUUCAUGGUGAUAACUCUUCCCCUUAUUUUAUUCUUCUCAGUAAUAUAUUUGAUUAACCAGUGGGGCUGGUUUAUCUCAUUUUAUGAGAUUUCUAUUUUAAUUAACCAGCAGGGCUGGUUUGUCCUUUAUUAAGUGAUUUUAGAUUUAAAGUUUUAAGGACGUUUAAGUUGCAUGCUGUUAAGUUUUAAAAGUUGAAAAGUGGGAAAGUAUAUAAGUUUUAUAAUUGUUAAGUUAUUGAAUUUAUUUUUGUCCACUCACUCUAACGUUUUUAAAUUACUUUCCCCUGGGCCCUUUGAUUUUAAAUGCCCAGUUUGCAGGCUAAGUUAUUCGAGGUCGAGCGUACAUGGAGUCAAGGCAUAGUCAGAGGCUGCUUUUGCUUAUUCUUUAGUCAUUGUUUUUCGUUUAACUUUAGAUAUGCUCUGAUAACCAGUUAGUGAAUUAAUGUUGGUUAUUGUUGGUUGUGGGAUUAGUUUAGCUGAGUAGUUGUUAUAUUGGGAGAUAUGAUGAACUUAGGGAACAUGAAGGCUCCAGGUGUUGAGGAUGGAUGUUUGUUUAUAGAAGUGUUAAGUUGGAUUUUUCAGGUAAGGGUUGUCUAUUUUCAAGGAAGGUUAUGCCGAAUUUUCGGUUAAUUUUCCUUGAAGGUGGACCCCGUAGGAUUUACCUCGGGUUUCAGGGUGAAAUUCGGGGCGGGUCUUGACAAGGAUAACAUCCUGUAUGGAGGUCCUUAGUUCUAUGGCAGAUCCCAAUUUGUUCUCGUCAAAUAUGAUGGUCUUCAAGAUGUGUCUCAGGUCCCUAUUGAGUCUUUCUCGAUGUGGAUCGAAAUCAAGGGGUUUCCAGAUGCCUUGAUCACAGAGGAGGCGGUUGAGAAGAUUGGUCUGACUCUAGGGUUUGUGGACCAUGUCAACAAACUGAAAAUCAAGCACAGAUCGAAGGUUAGGGUUAGCAUUUUGCACAAUUUGUGCAAUUAUUUCAAGGAAGCCUUUGGGGAUCUGCCCUUUGAGUUUGGAUCGAGGAGGUUUCUAGCGAAACUUCAACUGAAGUACGACUGGACUGUUGGUUUUUACAGGGUGUGCGCCAUGAUGAUCCAUCCCGAUUCCAGUUGCACUGGUAAGCCAGUGUUGACACCAAUUCAUCGAAAUCAAGUCGAUGACGACUCUAUUUGGAUAUAGAGGAGCAACUAGGGUGUCCGAAACCAAACCGAUCGAACCCUAACCUUAGUCUGGUCUCGAAACCAUUUAUGGAUCUAAGUGGUGCGUCGUCUUCUGGGGUGAAGAACCUGGUUCUCUUGUAGCUGCCAAGUACUGCCUUCAACCCUUUUAAAGCUGCAAGAAAUUGAUAUGGGGUCUGUCUGAUUUCCCGAAGGUUUCAGUCUCUCUCCUUGGAAUUUUUGUUGCUGAUCUUGUCGUGUAGUUAGCUCGAUUUCGGUCUGCUCCGGUGACUGAACCGAUCUCGGUACCAGCUCUAGAGGUGGUGACAGUCCCAACAAGUGUGCUUCCAAUGUCAUCUUUAGCUUGGACGAAGAGGAGUGUUGAACUAGCUUUAGUGUCGUUUUGCAAGAGAGGUUGUGGUCUACCUGAGCCGGAUCAAUUUGCUGUAGUGCCCUAUGAGCUGCCCUUCGCCCCUAAAAUGGCUCUACCUCACUCUGGAUGGACUCUUACUGACACAACCCAUCCCAAAUUUCACCCUGAAACCCGAAGUAAAUCCUGCGGGGAACACCUUCAACGAAAGUUUACCGAAAAAUCGGCAGAACCUCCCUUAAAAAAAAUGGACAACCCUUCCUAAUAAUACCUGCAUACACUUCUGAUAAACCAAAUCCAACCUUAAACUCCUGGAGCCUUCAUGCCCCAAAUCACAACAUCUCCCAAUUAUUUAAAUAUCUACACAAAUCUCAUAUCCAACCGUUUAUAGGUUCAGAGCAACACUAAUAGGAAGAAAGGAAACAUGAUAAAUUAACAAGCGGAAGCUAUAUGAUGACUAUGCCUCACUCCCCAUGUNNNNNNNNNNNNNNNNNNNNGCAACUCGGCAUUUUAAAACGAAGGGCCCAGGGGAAAACAUUUGAAACCGUUAGAGUGAGUGGACAAAAACAUAAAUUUAAUGAAAAUAUUUAUGAUUUCCCAAUUUACAUUUUCAUAGAAAAUAUGCUGCAUGCGACAGCUCAAAAACGCUCAACACAAAAAUUGGCAAUUUCAUGACUAGCUCCGGCCAGUCUCCAAAACUCAAUAAAAUACAGCCUCUCAGGCUAAAAUAAAAUAUUUAUGUAUUACACUCGUCAUAUCCCUUGUAUGAAUUUUCUUGAAACAACAAAGACAAAUAGAAAAUUCACACAAGGCUACGACGCUUGCGUCUAACGCUCACGUCGCACCAUAAUGGCAUUUUACCUCAUUAUGGUGGAAAAGACGGUGUAUAAAUAUAUACGCGCAUAUCCCUUAUAUAAAUUAUUAUAUUUAUAUAGGGUUACGACGAUUGCGUCUAACGCUCACAUCGCACCAUAAUGAAAUUUUUACCUCAGUAUGGUGGAAAAGCACGUAUAGCUAGCUAGCAUUCCUUCAUAUACAUAUUAUUCUCAUAAUCAUCCAAAUAUGGAUAUAUAUAAAUAUAUAUACUCACCGAAAUUCUCAAUUUCGGUUAUUCUCCAACAAUAAUGAAAAUUGCCAAUUAUCAUAAAAAGAAAUACGCACACGACUCUACCGAAAAUCUCAUUUUCAGUAACUUUCCAAAUAACACGAUAGCCAUUAAAAAUGAGAACAUUUACUUCUGAAAAUGACUUCGCGAAAAUAAACAAUUCCACAAAUUGAUAUUCAAUAAAAUCAAUCAUUUAAUGUAGAAUCACCGCAUGCAUAUAUUUUAAAACAAAAGUCCACUCACAACUUUAGGCCUAAACCUGAUGUCGAUCUGGACCCUCGCUUGCCCGAGCCUCCUCACGUCCUGUUCCAAAUAUACUAUUAAUUUCCUAACUAACAAUCCAACAUUUAAUUAAAAUAGGCAAAAUUAACCGAGAGCCGUAACUACGCUCAUCAUUGCCUAACUUCGAUAUUCUUAAAUCGAAACGAUCCGAACUUAAAUAUCAUACUCGGCAGCCGUAAUUACAACCUCCAAAAAAAAACGACUUAAAUCCUACGGCCGGAUUCUACAUUAAUUAACCGCCAAAAAUACCACACUUCAGAAAUUCAUAAACCUAUCCAAAACUCAUUCAAAAAUUCCAUAACUCACUUCAAUAAACUCCCCUUAAUAUUCUAAAUUUAAAACCCUAAAAAUCUUCCAAACAGUGGCGGCGCCGGCGCCGGCUCCGCGGGCAGCAGCGGCCGGAGGCUGAUUCCGGCGACCUCUAAUGCCUAUGAAAUUUUGACAGCAUCUUCCUCUCAUCAUGCUCUACAACUUUCCUAACUAGCACAAACCCAAAAUCUAAGCCUAGCUAUGCCAAUCGAAUAAAAACAUCAAAAUCGCUCCAGAAUUUCAAACUCACAUUUCUCCUUACCUAGCUCAAGAGAGGGUAAGCUGUUUAGAGGGGUUGCUGCACGGGAGGAGGGCUACAAAAUGAGCUAAGGAUCGCCGGUUUUGGUGGCCGGAGGAGGGAGUUCCGGCGAAAAGCUUCCCGGCGUCUCCGGCGAGUUUUCUCUUCUUCCGGCGGGCUAAUGGCUCGAGGGCUAGGCCGGGGAGGGAGAGGAGGAGAUGGGGGUCCGAACUGGGGUGGAGUGGUGGCUGGUGGUUGGCCGAACGGCGGCAGCUGGCAGCUGGAAGUUUCUGGCGAAGGGGGAGAGAGCACGGGAGGGAGAAGGAAGAGAAAAGAGAGAAGAAGAGAAAGAGAGGGAAAUGGGUUGGGCCUCUCCAACCGGUCCAACUCCACCAUUAUACCCAACUCCCACAAAAUAAAACACCCCGAAAAAUAAUACCCGAAUAAAAAUUACCUUUUACUAGCUAAAAUUUACCAUUUUUACCAUCGUCAUAUUUUCCUCCUACGAAUAAUCCUCCGCACAUAAUCGUCCCCGAAACCCCUCUAGGGACCAAUUAAACUAUUAACUCAAUGACGAAGACGGUAAAAUUCUUAUUAUAACCAAGCUAGUAAAUAAGGUAAAAUAUAAGGGUCGGGAUGUGACACUUACGGUGUCGCCGGCGAAGAAGAGGAAAGUGGGACGCCCUCUAGGUUCUAAGAACAAGAAGGGGAGAAGGGCAUCGUGGCAGGCACUUGAGUCGGGGCAGCUAGAACCUAAGAGAGCUACACUAUUGGAAAAAAACACCUAGGAGAUGGAAUUAUUUCGUCUCCUAAGUGACAGAUUUCGUCUCCUAAGUACUUAGGAGACGGAAUGUCCGUCGGCUAAGAUCCGUCGCCUAAGUAUGGUAAGGUAGACACUUGGGCGACGGAACCUAAAAUUCCGUCUCUUAAGUGGUUCUUAGGAGACGGAAUAUUUUCGUCUCCUAAGCACUUAGGCGACGAAUUUUAUUUUAUAAUAAUAAUAAAAAAUUAUCCACUUAAGAGACAGAAUUGUUGAAUUCUGUCGCUAAAGGCUGAAAAAAAAAUUAAAAAAAAACGUCACUGCAGGUUUUUUAUCCACUCACUCCGACCGCCCCAAAUACCACCACCACCACCACCACACUAAUUUGCCUCAAAUAUGCCACCGGCACCACCAUCACAUCCUAACCAAUCACGUUAGGCUUCCCUAACUGGUUGUUCUGAAACUCCACUGCGACUCUGUUGUCCUUCGUCUUCUUCAAUGAACCCGGCUUCAUCUUGUCAAUCGACGCCGGCUUGAAUUCAUCUGCAAAAUCACAAAGGAAACGGAUCCGAUCAGAUAAAACAGAGGAGAAGAGAAUGGACGGUUGUGAUCAAGGGGAUUACAUCGUAGGGUGCAUAACUUGCUGGAGGACUCGUCUUUGAAGGAGGGGCCUAGGGUUAGGUUGUACCACCGAUCGGGUUGAGGAGCGGUCUUGGGCUCUUCCUUGGCGUUACUUGCCAUGGCGGGUUUAUCGAAGGAGGAGAAGAGGAGCGGUGUGGUGCGGUCCAGCGAGGCUAGCUGACAUGGCAAGAUCAAAGUGAGGAGGACCACCGGUGAGGAUUUAGGAGGAGGAGAGGAGAGGCCAGCAUGAGAGUGAUGGUUUAGAGAGAAAGCUCUGGGAAAAGAAGAUAAGUGAGAGAAUUGAUAUGUGAUUUAAAAGAAUCGGUAUGUUUUGAAAAAUUUUGGUUUGAAUUUUCAUGAAAUUUUACGUCGGAACAUACGCGCUCAAAUUUUUAGAACUUAAGCGACGGAAUGUUUUAUUUCCGUCGUCUAAGUGAUUCAUAAUUUUUUUUUAAAAAAACAUUUCGUCUCCUAAGUUCUACUUAGGCUGCGGAAUAUAGUUCCGUCUCCUAAGUGAUUCAUAUAAAUUUUUAUUUUUAUUUUUUCAAAAUCUCGUCGUCUAAGUAAAAAUAUUCCAUUUCCUAAGUAGCAUUUAAGCGAUAGAAUGGAAUUAUGUCUCCUAAGUUGUUCUUAAGAGACAAAAUCAAAAUAUUUCAUCUCCUAAGAACAACUUAGGAGACGGAAACUGUUCCGUCUCCUAAAUAGAAUUUUUCGUCGCUUAAGUACCACUUAGGAGACGGAAUUUUUUAAUUCCGUCGCUUAAGUGCUAUUUUCCAGUAGUGCUAAGAGGAGGACUUUUGAGGCUAGGAGGGCACUGGUGCUGGGUGAGGUUGUUGCUGGCAUGGUGGUUUCAGUCUUGGAGGCUGCUCUGGUUGGUAAUGAAGGUGAGGUAGAGGAUUCGGGGUCUUGGGGGCAAUUUCGCCUUCGUUUGUUGCUAGCUCCUCCUCUGAGGAGUCUAGUUCCGCUUAAGCUCUUAUUCUAGAGGCAAAGAAUAAGUUAGGUUCUUGUGUGAGUCGACCUCGCCUAUAGUUUAUGGCAUUAAGAUGCUUAGGGUGUUUAGGUUUUAGGUCUAAGUUUUUUUUAGUUUUUUGGCAUGGUUCAAUUAUUUCGAGCCCAUGAGGGCGGAUUGUGUUUGUUGUACUUUUACUUUCAGUUUAUUAACGGAGUGACAUCCUUUUUCAAAAAUAAAAAAACUCUUGCUAUCUAUUUUUUUUUUAUUAAUUUUUUUAUUAUGAUGUUUGUUAAAAUUUCAUGCGAAAGCAGCGAAACAUACUAAAACUUCAUUACUCUGAAUUCCAAACGAGACGUAUUAAGAUUAGGAUUGAAUUUUUCAGAUGUGACACAAUACAUGUAGGAAGCUUGGAUGGAAUAGUACCGUACAGGCGUACAUUGGUAGAAAAUUAAGGUAACUAUCCAAACUUCCAUCAUUGAAUGGUUUACACACCACCCUCUACGUACAAUUUCUAAUCUGUUUGCACCUGAAGUUAGAAUCUUCUAACUUUCUAUGAUCUAUCAUUUUCACAAAACCUCUGGUUCCUUGCUUUGCUAAAAUUGGUAUCUACAAUUAAACUCUAACCUAACUUGCUAGCUUGAACAUUUACAUGACAGAAAAGUCAUCAUCAAGGCCGUCUAGUUCUCCUUUUACACUGUUUUGUUGAAUGAUUAAAACUGAUGUUCUGACUGAAAAUUCAGAACCCGCAAGAACAUCACCAAUCGGACCCAACUCCGGACACUGCUGCCAGUCAUUCAUCCCAAACGUCAAAACUGUAUUCACCCUUUCCCCUCUUCCCACUAUUAUAAGUGAGUACUGCCCAUCUAAUGCCAUCAAGGUAUUAUAAGUCUCAGAAGAAUUGGCAAGAUGCUUCUCCAUGUAAGCAACUUGCCCACAUGCAACAUGUCUCUCGUAGAACUUAGCAAAGCACUCAUCAUCAAACUUCAUUUCCUCUUCUUGUAGAGCACGGCUGACCGGGUAAUGGCCAGGUCUACUUGACGCAUUUGUGGUAGUGUCCACCAAAAAUCUUAAGAUGGUGAGUUUUACACCAGGAUGUCGUGCUACAAGACCGGCAUAGGCGAGUGCUUCUCUAUCAUCUUUUCCACCAAUGAAGAUGACAGCCAUAUCGAUAGAAUGAUCAUAAGAUCUUGAUAUUUUUUCAAUCAUUCCAAAACCUCUGUCUACAAGAAUUCCUAUGGAGCAUGGAGCAUUUUUGAGGACCUGUUAAUACCAUAGUCAUCAGUAACUGGUCAAUGCGAAGUAGAAGAGUAUUCUAAACUACAUAUAUAUGUCCAUGAAAGAUAACCAAUGUAUCCAAAAGGUUGUGAAUAUAUAGGCUUCUAAGCUAGCUAGAGCAUACACUUAAAGGAGCAAACCCUGGUCUUUGAGCAGAUACUAUGUUGUAGUAACUAAUUAUAGUGGUGUAUCUACAUAUGCAAGUAAAAUUUGCAUAAAUGAGAGCAAGUAAUACAGCCUGCUCAGAGUUUACAAGGUUAUGUGGUGAAUCAUUGUUUAGCAGGAUUGUAUGUUUAUGCUUUAAGAUGGGAAGUGAUCCCGUGAAAGUGUUCUGGAAUAUGUUUUCAGCUAUAAUUGUACAAACAGUACAAACUGUAUAUAGAUUCAUUCCAAAUACGAUCAUGGUGUUAAAAUUCUUGAACUGCUAAAUAUGUGACUGUUAAACAAAAAACAGAGAGAGAAGCAGUAUUCUGUUGCACAUUACCUUACGGUUCACAAAUCUGAAACCAGAAUGACCGCCAUCUAAUGUCCCAUCUGCACUUUGUGUCUUGUGAAAUGGCAAUAUGAUGAGGGCCACCGUCGAGUCCUCAGCCAAAACGCAUAUAUCUUGGGGCAUGCCAUUGAAAGUCGAGAGUGCAAGCAAUCGUCCUAGUGUAAUACCAUUAUCGUCUUCUUCUACAUAGGAUUGAAUUGCAGCAGUGACUUGAGCUCUCAUGUCUGUUACCGCCUUUUCAGUCACAGUCAUUGUGUUCACUCCUUGUUCUUUAACUAGUGUUGCUGCUAUUUGGUCCGUAAGUUCUAUCAUGUCUGUUACAAAUACUACAACUCCAGGGUCUGCUGUCCCUCUACAUAGCUCAAUGAAGUUAAUCGCAGUACGCACAUUUUGUGGCCCAUGAAGGCAUAGUAAUAUGCGUAGUUCGCUUGAGGGGUCAAGCAACUGAAGUGACAUCCGAUGAGUGGGUGCUCGUCUCCUUGCACGCUUAAUAAUUUGUGCCACAACUGACGGGGCGUGCACCACAGUGAAAAAAAUAGCUAUUACCAUCACAGUACUGGUUGAAGUAGAGGUUUUUCCAUACUGCAGUUGAUCAAAAGAGCAAAGAAAACAAAGAUCAUUAUGGUUCAAAAUGUGACAGUAAGAGGAAUAUAUCAAUAUGCAUGAGAAUGAAUGUUGUAUUUGGUAUUUGUAAGAUAACUACAGUUCUGUCACUGGGUUCAAUUUAAACAUACACUAUUUAUUUCCAAUACGAACACAUACAUUACUUGGCCUAACGGAACAGAAAGAAUUCAAUCAGUUUUCUAUUGACUCAACUUGUUCAGCUUCAUUUUGGAAGAGACAUUGCGAACAUUGUUAGUUGAUCAAGUUAUCUUUUAUAAUUGUUCAUGUAAAAGUGUAAAUUGAAACAAAAUUCUCAUGCAUUUACUUUCAUACCAUGAAAAAGACAAGAAAAUUUUAAUGAUGUAUCGUACUUAUAGAACUUUCAGCUAGGAUUGGAUGGAGAUGCAAAGAACAUGAAGUUUAAACUGUGUCAUAACUCAAGAAAUGAAAUGCUUCAUUCAGGAAUUAGUUUACAUGGAAAUUGGGCAACAAAAACCAAGGACAUGGGAUAAAAGCAGAGGUGUCGUACUAACCGAUUUUGCAGCAAUGGCCAAGUAUAUAUGAAAAUGGCCUUUGGUUGUGAGAAGAAGCCCUAGUGCAACAGAUUCAGGCCAGUUAAACCCCAAGAGGGCUCCAGAGAUGACUGUUCCUAAAACUUUUCCGACUGUUGCUAUAGCAAAAACAACAAAUAACCUUGCCCAUGUCAUCCAGUCAAGAGGCUGGAAUUCUGCAAAAUAAGCUUCAUACCCCAUCCAAAAGAAAAAAAUGGGAUAGUAUAUGGUACUCAACAAGUAGUUGAUCUUGCCUAUCACCCACUUUGACACUCUUCCUUCCCUUGGUAAAAAGAUUCCUGCCAUAAAUGCACUCAAAAUAGAACUGUACCCAAAAUAUGAUGGGCAGGCCACAGCGAAGGCCAUGAAAGCCAUAGAGAGGACUAGAUGUGAGCCUUUCAUGGGUUUGCCUUCGGGGUUUUCAUUGUUAACCCAGUUCAUGAAGAUUGGUGAAACAAAGGCUGUAAAAACUGCCGUGAUCAACAAUGCAAUACCCAUCUCAAGGGAUCUAUGAAGGCUGCUUUUUUUAUCUGCAUCUUCAACAGGCCAAAUGACAAAGCCAAUGGAGAGGAGAAGAGUGGCUAUAAAAUCAGAGUGCAUUCCUGUAGCAAUGACGAGCUGGCCUAUGUCUGACUUGCCUAUUUUGAGACUAGUUAUUAUUCGUGUCAGUACAGGCGAAGCCGUGCUCGAAAGGACCAUGGAGAGGGAGAGAGUGAAGUCAAUCUUAAAACUUUCUGUAUAGUGCAGAAAUGGGGUUAUUCCACAGGCUAGGAUGAAUGUGGAGAGCAUACCAACAUAGGCCACUUUCGCGUCUUUGGUUGGUAGUUUCAAAAGCACAUAUGGAUCCAUUUCUAUUCCUAGCACAAGCAUGUAGCCAAUCAUUCCAAAUUCAACCAGGUAACGCAAUAUAUGCUUUGAUGACUGUGAUAAAACACCACGUAUGAACCCUAUGUUUCCGAUGACUAGUCCUACCUGCAUUACAUAAGAGAUAAGAACUUAAUCACCAUAGAAGGCCGUGCGAUACUGUAGAAAAGAAAACAGCAUCUAAAUCAACAUUUCAUAUUUAAAAUGAUUAGCAAGUGAACACUUUUGUGAGUCUCUCUUGAUUCGGAUCAAAAUUACUGAUACUCAGAAGGAUGCAUAUGAAGAAAAAGAGUGCUUCUGUUUGUGGUUUAGCACACCACAUAGCAUGUAAAACUAUUUCUCCAUGAAACCCUAAACCAAUUAAAAUCUGGGUUGCUUGCAACUCAAGUUUCUGCAGAGAACAUUUACCCUAAUUAACACAACUGGUAUUUUCAUAAACGGUUUAAAUUACAAUGUUGGGUUCCAAUAAUGAGCAAUAGGGGCGCUUGUCUAAUAUUCAAUAAAAAAUUUGAGAUUGCCAACCUCAAAAAAUAAGGAAAAAAGAGAAGAAAGGGAGAGAGACUCACAAAGGUAUCAGAGGUAAUGCGAGGCUGGGAAUAAGGCUUUAGCAGGUAGUGCGAAAGAUGACAGAGAAUGUACAUUAAGAAGAAACCUGCAACAUGAAUGGCUACAUGUGUGAUAAGCUUUGUUAAUUGUACUGAGCAUCCAUCAGGAAUGUCAUUUGUAUCAACACCACCCUCUUUUCUGUUUCUCACCUCCAUUUUCUUCAACCCCUUUGCUUUCUUCUUUGGGUUUUCUAUUUCCCCAAAGAUUUUCUUUUUCUUUUUCUUUUUCCCUUUCUCAAAAGUUUGCAAAUGAUUUGUGCCACCAUUGUUGUUUGUCUGGACCUUGGCUUUUCGCAAAAUGAGUUAGCGGCUCUAAUCAAUUGCCUUGUUUGAGGAGAAAUUGAAGGAGAACUAGUAGAAAUUCUGAAAUUGUACGACUUUUAAAAAAUUAUUGGGAACAUUUUAAUUUUGUUUUUUUAAAUUUCUUUUGCGUUUGAUACCAAGGGGAAAAAUUAUUUUGGUUUCCAUUGCUACUGAUUGGUCUGAGGUGGGAAUUUUGGUUGAAGAUCUUAAAGCUAUUAUGGGAUAGGCAUCUGUUUCUGCUAUAAUACAUGUAAGAAUAGAACAACAGCUAAUCAAGUGGCGCACCUCUUAGCUCAAAUUGCAUCACAUAGGCGUUCCCAAUAUUUGUACCUACCCCUUCUCAUGAUGCAUGCUUGAUCAUUAAGGAAUUUGAACCAUUCUUUGCAAAAGAAAAAAAAAGAAAAAAAAUAUGGGCAUAGCAACUGCUAUAUUUCCUUCAUUUCUGUAAAAUCUUGAAUGGGCUAGUUAAAUUUCUCUGAGACUGUUUUGUGAGUUGGUACUUGGUUCUUCCUGUGUAAACAGGGAGGUGGAGAAACUGAUGGUUACAAAUUGACACACAUAUUUUCAUUUCAAACUAUCAAAUGUAAUACCAGCUUCAAGUACACAGCAGCAUGCACUUCUACCACUUCACUAGCAACGGCACACUGUGGGUUAACCAAAAUUAUGGACAGAAUAACCAAAACAUAUAGCUGCACACUGUAGUUUAAAGUUUAAGCAAUGUCAAAAGGGCAUAAAAAGAAGCAAGUCUAAGAAUAAUUUGGACAUCUAGCUAUGUCUUAGAAACAUAAGAAACAAAUGAAGUCCUAAAUGUAAAACAGAAGUCCCACACAGCCAACAUGCCCAAACUGAUCUUCAUUAUUUUUACAUUAAGCACAGGUUACUGAGACUUCUUCGACCCUUGCCUUCUCCGCAUUUUCUGUCCACCAGGAUGAUCAAGCUUCACCAGUAAAAAACAAAGUCAGCCAUGACCAACUUUCCUAUCUUGAAAAAUAUGCAAUGAGAGGGAGUGCAAAGACAGACAUUACAGGCUCAUGAACUUGAACUUAAUAUAUAUAUAUAUAUAUAUAUAUAUAUAUAUAUAUAUAUACGUACGUNNNNNNNNNNNNNNNNNNNNUCACCUGGGCUUCUUUGACAAUAGAGGCACUACUAGACUCCUUUGAUUCGAGAGUAGAAUAAACAGCCUCACAGAAAACAUUAAGACUUUCUAGUCUCUUUUCCAUCUCUAGGCGAGUUUUGUGCAGCUUAAUGUUGGCCGCCUUGUCGGACCUACUCUCUAGCUCGUCCAACAUACGCUCUGAUUCUGUCUGCUCUAUUUCCUUAUUCUUCUUAUAUUCAGCAUACUGAACUCGACUCCUGUCAUAAAUCUCCUUUAGCUGCAAAUAAAGCUGGAAAGAUAAAUGCUGGUUUUCGUAUCAAACAUACCGUUGCACAUAAUACUUGAAUCCCUAAAGCAACUUGAGCAUGGCAGAUUGCUGCUAGAGUCAUGACCUAAGUAGAAAACAAACAGAACUCUCAGUUCAACAUAUCAUACAUUGAAACUAGGAACAGACCAAUGCCAUAGUCUGCAUUGAGGAGAUAGAAGUCUUACCUCGGAUUCAUGCUGCUCCGUACGCUUCAAGGACAUGCUCAGAGCCUCGAGUUCCUUUUCAAAUUUAGAUGGUAGGGUCAAAUUACAAUCUACUUGAAUUGUUUUGUGAGGGCAGCUGCAGCUCUUUGUUUUGCCUGUUCCGCAAGCUUAUAUUUGUCAUGCAAGCACUGAUUCUUUUGCAAUAGCUGCAGCGUUUCUUCCUGGCAUUCAUUAAUCUGCCGCAAAAGCAUUAGUUUCUAUAACUCUAUAACUACUCACUCAAGGGUGAUACUUAAUUACUUAUAACAUACAUAUGAUCAAAUAUAAUCAUAAACCUUGUUUUUAAGCUCCAAAACCUGGUCGUUCAUGCUGGACAUCCCGCCCCUUCCUAUCAGAAAAAAAUUAAGGCAUUAAAAAAACCCUAACCUGGAUUCGAUUCAAUUUCAAAUUGACUGCAAAUUUAAAAGGAAAAAAGAGGUUUAUUACGGUAUAUGCAAUGGAUAUACACGAUUACCUAGUUGUUCUCCAGAACUUGAUUGUAUUGUGUAUUUGUGUUCAAAGCGGAACCAGAUCACUGGGAUGAAAGUGAGUCGGGAGAGAAGCAAAUAAGAGAGUCUUGAUUCUGCAACUGUACUCCUUCCUCUCUUCUCAGUUCGAUUUGUUUGUGUCAGUUGAUGUGUAGGGUUUCCAGUCUUGGACUCAGUCGGCCACUCUAGACCCAUGAGUAGUAUUUCUAGGCAAAAAAAUCCUCCCACAAAAUAAUGUAUAGGUUGUAUUUGGAUAGAGUAAUCUCAAUUUAUAUAGAAGUUUCAAAAUCAUGGGAAUUACAAUUCCGUGUAUUCAAAUUCCAUUAAUUAAAAACAUUGUUUGGAUUUCAGGACAUAUAGUUUUAAAAUGACAAGAAUUAAUAUUUAAUCAAAAAUAAGGGUUUUUUAGGGUUUAGGUUUAUGGCUUAUUAAUUAGAAUUCUCAAUUAAUGGAAUUUAAAUUCAUGGAGUGUAAUUCCCAUGAUUUUGAAAUUUAUGUGGAAAUUGAAAUUACUUUUACUUUAUCCAAACACAACGUGAUGGAAUUGAUAAAUGACGCCUAUGUUGUGAGAAAUUCAAGUCGGGAAUUUAAGCUCUCAAAUUCUACGAUUAUUUUCCAUUGAGAAUUGCUAAUUUCAUACGAUAGGAGUCCAAACGCGGGAAAAAGAUCUAUUUUUCUUUAAAUUCCCUCGCUUCUUCCCUCUUCCAAACACACUGUUGAGAGAAAGCGAAAGAGCUGGGGUUUCGAUCUGUUUAGAUAUAAAUAUCCGAUUGGGGUUUGCGUUCCCAAUUGGGAUUCAUUUCCGUAAUAUUGGAAUAGGCUAGGGUUUUGUUAAAAAUAGGGGAACGAUGUCCAUGGAGGAAGAGGUUUUGAAGCUCAAAGAGAAGGUUUGGUUUGGUCUAUUGUUAUUAUUACUAGCGGUAUCCGAUCUCUAAUAUUACUAGUUUGCAUUAUUGGGUUCUAACAAUUGGUGCUACUGCAUCUCCUGUCAGCUCUCUCAAUGCCAACUCGAAAGGGAUCGGCUCCGGACCCAGAACGAGACUUGGGUGAUCAAGGAGAAACUUAUCACGCAGGAAAAAGAACAACUAGAUCAGAGAAGCUCAGAGUUGAAAUAGAAGCGAAUUUGUGCGCAACAUCUGAAUUUGAGACAAAGAAGAAGCCUCUCAAGGAGGCCUUGGACGCCAAAACCGAGAGUCUACGUCAGGUAAGUUAGAGAUGUACGUAUACAUGACUCUGGUCAUGCUAGUUUAGUCACUUCUAAAUAUGCUUUUUUUUGGCAGCUACGAGAGGCACUCAAAGAGUUUAGAGAUACUCAUGAAUUGGCUUAUAUGGAAGCACGAUCAGCCAUUGCCGAUGAAAGGAUUGAUAGAGUGUAUGAUAUCCCAAAGGCAGAGAGAAAAAAGCUGGCCGAGCUACGUUCAGAGAUAAAUGAGAAACGGGACAAAUUACUUGCUUUUCUUAAGAUGUGUGUGAAACAUUCAAAGAUCACUACUGAUGAUGUAAAACCUUUGCUCCGAGUCCAUUAUGAUGCAUAUAUUGACACACUCAAGACUGAUGUUGAUGAUGGCGCUGUGGGAUGUUAAGAAGGUAUGCGCGUCGUGUUCUACAACCCGGUUUUGCUCAGAAGCUAUAUAAAGUGAUGUUUGCCGGGGGUCGAUUUGAUAUCUCCAAUUUCACCUGCAAUUUCAUUUACUUUUAACAUCUUCGUGAGGAAAGAGAGUGUCCAAUGGUUCUCUAAGAACGCAAGUCUGCUACCGAUUAACAAGGUCAUAUAUUUUGUGCACAAUGACACUGGUACUGUUUGGACUACUUUUUAGGACAUUCUCAAUUCUCUCUGUUUUUGGUUUUUUCACUCAGAAGUCAGUUUUUGGAUGUGGUGUAAGCGACUUUCUGAUGUGAUUUUACUGGUGAAGCAUAAACAUCCUGUAAGAGGAAGAGAGGACGACGAGUAUGAACAUCCUGUCCAGGCCGGCCUCAAUAGCAUAGAAGCUUUGGAACUUUUUUUUUUUGAAACCGGAAGCUUUGGAACUUUAUUAUAAAGUAAAAAGAUGAGGACAUGUUGGAGUCUGCCUCCCUCUCCCUCUAUAUAUAUAGAGAUUUUCUCAGCUGCGGACGUCUGCACCGAUUUUUUGGUGCGGAUUUCUAUUUUUACACCACUUUCCGAUCGAAUUUCCUUAAACUUUCUUCUAGACAUAUCUAGAUCAUCAUGUGUAGAUCAUCUCUGCAAAAUUUCAGCCAAUUUGGUGAUCGUUAAGGCCCUCAAAAUCGAAAAACAAAUUUGACGGACUAAAUUCUGUCCGAUUCAGGUAUAUAACAGAAAAACGCAAGUUUGAGGGUCUUAACGAUCACCAAAUUGGCUGAAAUUUUGCAAAGAUGAUCUACACAAGAUGAUCUAGAUAUGUCUAGAAGAAAGUUUGAGAAAAUUCAAUCGGGAAGUGGUGCAAAAAUGGAAAUCCGCACCAAAAACUUUGGUGCUUUGGUGCGGACGUCCCAUAUAUAUAUAUAUGAUUUCAAGAUUACGAUUAUAGUUUUGCUGCGGUGCUUACUAAAUUAGAAAACUAUUUCUUUCAAAAAAAGAAGAAAAGGCAUGGGUUGCAGGCUCGCAGCACUACUCACCCCCACCCUGGACAUGUGCCUCAGUACCUGAAUAUAUGUAACCUUUCAAAGUUUAUACACCAACCAUGACAUGUUGAGCACUGUACACCUACAACUAGUCAAGUACUCCCACCCUACUUUGGUGUCUGAAAUAUAGCCAAUAAAAGGUAUGUCAUAAACCUCUCAAAGUUUAUACGUCAUCCAUGAUGGCACACUAUAUAUCUACUAAGAUCUCACUAAUAUUAUCUAUCCAAAAAUAAAUGGCGGUACUGUCAUCCAAAAACAAAAUUGUAUCCAAUAACGAUGAAUCUGCAGACUGCUUGCUCAUCUACAAAAUCACAUCUCCCAUGCCAAUCACUGCCUAUAACAGAAUAAAUAAUAUAUAUAAGCAGCUGAACAAAACACUAGUAGAACUUUCAGAAAUAUUCAAGCAAUUGCGUUAAGUAAAUACCUCAGAAAAAGCUCGACGAUAACUAGAUCCCCAAAAUAGGCUCGACUAGAAUUGUCAUUGCAACCGAAUACGAGGUAGUACAGAGAGGGAUCCAGAAUGUGGCAAACAGUCUGCCAUGUGUAGUAUGGAAGGAAAAAUCACCAUAACCGGUGGAGGUCAUAGUCAUCACUGUAAGGUGUAAGAUGACAAGAAUAUCUGCCCAUACAGAUGGAUAAGAAAGAGAUGCACUAAGAUGCUGCUGCUCAGACAAGGAUGUCCUAAGUGCCUCCAGCUCAAAACUAUAUAUCCCUAUCAUCCCUGACAACAGAGUCACCAAGAUCAUUCCAAUAGCUGAAAUAACUCCAUAAAAGAACCUCGUAGGUUCAGGGAUAAACUUCUGACCAAACCAUAGUGCUACGCGACGCAGAAAAUGACUGAUAACAAUCGGCACAAAGUACCCAAGCACGGGCAACAUAUCACAGAGAAUAAGAGCAAGAGCUGACUCGGGAGGAAUAUCACCAAAUCCAACCCCAUGCACCGUAACAGAAGUUGCAUAGUAUGCAUCAGUAGCUGAGCCUACUCCCUUGUCAAUGUCCAUCAUAAAAUGCAUAACAAAGAGACCGGCAAGCAUCCAGAACAUGAACACAUAAACAAGAGACAUAUAAGGCAGCCUGCAAAGUGCACGAAAAAGCAAAUGUUGACAAUUGAAAAUCCAAAUAGGAACUUCCUUAAAUGCAAAUAACAAACCCAGAAGCAAUAAGAAAACAAAAGAGGAUGGGAAGGCAAGUACUGGAUGAGAGUAUUAAGUAAGUUUACAUCUGAUCAAAUCCUACGGAUAAGACUAGAGGAGAAUUGUGGUGUUCUAAUUAUGAAGUGUUGGAUAGGUUUAAAUAUAAAGUUUGUAUAUGUUAUAACAAGAAAAACCUGUGUUCCUGUGGUUGAGAGCAUGCAAAGCUAUGGAAUCAGCUACUGAAUCAGCUAGAUAUACAACGCUACUCACUAGCUGUGGCAACUUUGAAUGGUAAGAGAUGAAGUAAUCUUUAAACAUAUUACCCCCUAACCCUGCAUCAGUAGUGACAGCUCUUACCUUCAAUCCACUAUCAAGUGGAAACCUCCUAGAGGUUUCAUCAUCAGAAACUGUAAUGGUAGAGAGUUGCAGCUACAAAAGGAAUGGGGAAAACUACUGUCCCGUAGUUGAAGGCUUGAAGCUAUAGCUUUAUGUAUGCUAGAAUGUGUUGAGUUGGUUCUUUCAGAAGCUUUACUGAGAAUGUAUCUUAUCUGCUAUAGAAAUAGCUUACAAGAAAGUCCUAAGAAUGAUUCCAAGUUUACAAGAAAGUCCUAAGAAUGAUUCCAAGCUUACAAGAAAGUCCUAAGAGUCUUGCAAGAGUCAUCAAUUUUAUGAAAAAUAUUAUGAGUCUAGUGCCUACAAGAGUCUUGCAAGAAUGAGCCUAAUGCUUCUAAAUCUUGGAAUUUCGGAAACCAUAAGUAAUACACAACAGUUGAUUACAUGAUCUAACAUCUCAUUUUGGUCAAUACAUGAUCUAAUAUGAACUUCCACAAUUUAUAUAUAACUCAAGUGCCAGAGAAUUAUAGGUUUGAAAGAAAUACCAGACAAGAGAAUCCAUAAAUUCAGAACUUACUGAGCAGACGCCUUGGGCCCCUUUUUCUUUGGCCGAGUUUUCUUUCCAGCAAGUCUGGCUUUGCAAUCAUCCAGCUCUUCAUCUCUUUCCUUGAGCGUGUUCCGGGUCUCUUUCAGCUGUCUACUGAGAUCUCUCACAUUGUUGCGCAACUCCUUGACAGUCCGAAUCAGUCUACGAAUUUCCACCUGCAAUACCUCUGCAUCUGCUUCCGCCAUGCCAAGAGUUAGGGUUUACAGAGAGAAAUGGAGGUUGCGUGAGACGAGUUAGGGUUUUACUCAGAAACGGAGAUUGGGGAUUAUGGAGCUCGGAUUCGGACCAAAACGCAAAGCUCUGCGUUUUGCUCAAAUCCGCGCUCCGCGUUCACAAACUCCGCACCUGAGAAUUUCACCAGUAUUGGGAUGCAAAGCAGCCGAGGGGGUAUAUAUUAAUUUUGUUUGGGGAUUUGGGUCCUCAUCGUAUCCCUUUUGUUAAUCCAGUUUUUAAUACCGGACAAUAUGUUGCAAAAUCCGUGUCCAACACGUCAUGUGGCGUGUCUAAAAAAGUUGACUUUUUGAACACUUUUUCGGACACGUUGACCAGCUCCGACAUGCCACGUCAACAUUUCAGAAUUUAAAAAAAAAAAAAAAACAAUUAGCUAACUGGGACGCGCAGCACUAGCAGAGAUAGAUUCGAUCUCUUGACUCUUCUCUCCUUUGAUUCAAUCUCUUGACGCAGCAUGCGUAGCCCAUCGGAAAACUGUUUUAGCUCCUUCGCGACGGGUGGUUCUAAAAACGAGCUUGACUGGAUCAAGUCAUCGGGUAGAGCGGCGAGUUCAGGAUUCAAAGUUGUAGUGGCUUGAUGCGCCAACACUGAUGAACACAACAGCCUUGUGAGCUUGGGAGCAAAUUUGAUCACCGAUCGGGGCUUCAAGGAAAAGAUUGCAGAUGGAAGAGAAAGGGAGCAGCUUGUGAUGACUGGUGAGAAAGACAAUAUUCCAUGUGAUUUGAAACUAAAAUUUGAUUUCAGUGUGAAGAAAAGAGGUGGAUUGUUUCUGUAUCCAGAAAGAAAAGAGGUGGAUAGGAUUGGGUGGGGUUUGAUCAGAUACAGAGAGAGAGAGGGAUAUUGGGUCAGGAAUAAAGAGAGAGAGCGGUUGCGUGUGUUCUCACGCAAAGAAAAAAAAUAACCUAAAAAUAUAUUAUAAUUUUUUAUUUCAUCUUUUUAGUAUUUUUUAUAUAUUAAAAAUACAUAAAAAUAUGUAUUAUUUGCCGUGUCCAAGCCGUGUCGGAUCUUGAGUUUUUGGGAUUUGCCGUGUCGCCGUGUCGCUCCGUGUCGUGUUGUCGUGUCCGUGUCCGUGUCCGUGCAACAUAGCUCGACAUAUAUGUAGCGCUGACAUUGGUAGGUAUACUGACUUUGUAUACCAAUAUGACGAAGUAGUAUCAAGAGAAAUUCUUCAUCGAAGUACGAUAGCAUAUUCAUGUACUUGUUACAAUAUGCUUGACUCGACAUCUCAUUCACGGCCAAGUUCUCCUUAGUCUUUCAACUCUUUUCCUAACGGUCGAGCAGCUUCGCUCCCACUUAGAUGAGUGUGAAUAAAUGUCAAGGUAGUGGCUCGAUGUGCCCAUGUAAUGCCAAUGUAAUGGCAGUAAUUCCUUCUAUGAAGGGUUUAGGCUUAUUCAUCCCUACAGAAAGAUACAUCAAAGACAAAUCAAAAUAUGCCCAGUUUCGUAGGUCAAUUUCCACGGGACCUACAUGAUAGCCCAUUCGUUCUAAAAUGGUGAAAUUAGUACCAUUGGAAAGGUUUAUGUGUCUACUUUUCAGGAACACCAACCAUUUGAUUACACUUGUCAUAUUGGGUGAGUUAUGACUAUUUUCGUAAAGUAAGACGAAUCUGUCUGCAUAUCUGCUUUUGUAGAAUUGUCAACUUCGACAGAGCUUUAUGAUCGGCUCAGAAUAUGGUUGGAAAACUACGGGUGUCUAGUUUCUAAAACUUUUUACAGUUUGUCCAUACCUAUUGUAUGGAAGAAGUUAUGACUGGUUAAGUACAAGAAGGUCAUGCCACGCGUGAAUAUGAUUUUUAACACGAACUUAUGUUUUGAGUUGUUAGACAACCUUCUCCUUAAAGAUAAAAAAUAAUGCUAAGUAUAGCAUGUAUGAUCUAAGGACAAUGUGGCUGGAUUUAAUGACUAAAUCGUUGUCCAAGUCUACUUUUAAGUCUACUUUUAAAGUACGUAAAUUGUAUUGGGUUGCGUUGUUUAUCUAAACUUCGAGAUUGAGUUAUCAAUCAAGGGAAGUCGUUGUGUAGACAUCAGGGAGAGUCUACAUCACAUGUUUGCUUCAAAUAUAAUUGACGCGUUGUGCUCUUUUUACCUUCGUGAAAGUCUUUUGUUUUACCUAUAAGGUUUUUAUUUUACUUGAUAAAGUUUUUACUGAGACAAUACCAUAAACACCGUAACGUAUUAGGAACGUAACACAAGAGAGAUUAUGUUUUUAUUAUUCAGUCGGUCAUGUGUAGUGCCCUGAUACAUGUAGGAUCAGGUGAUUCGUUUUCCUAUUAGAAUAGGUGACAGUAUUCUUACAGGGUACUGAUGUUAGAUCGAAUUGACUUAAAUGGGUAUAUAUGCUCUCACAAAUAAAUGCUUUUCAUCGCAAUCGCAGAAAACUGACGCGAGUGAUCGGCGCUAAGCACAGAAACGAGAGAGAGGGGAAUUCCGAUUAGCCGGAUUUGGGAAUUCCGAUUCACGUCCCUGGUAGCGGUUUCUCUACAGAGAUAGAAAUCAGAUCGAGUCACGGCCAGGGUUUUGGGGAUUCAAUUCAGCGUAAUACCGGAAUUCGGAUCAAGUUGAGGUUAUAGGGUUCGAAUUGGGUAGUUUGAUUAUAGGGGAAGGAUGUCAAGUGAGGCAGCUGGCCCCAUGGACGUUGACGAAGAGGUUUUGAAGCUCCAAGAGAAGGUUUGCAAAACUGUUGUUUAUUAUUCGAUCUCUAAUAUUACUACUAGCUAAGUAGCUAGAUUUCAUUAGAUUAUUAUGCAUUCACUUGUAACAAUUGGUGGUGUCAGCUUUGUCAAUGCCGACUCGAAAGGGAGCGGCUCUUGCAAGAGAAAAAGAGAUGGAGGAUCAAGGAGAUACUUGUGCAGCGGGGAAUAGAGAAAGUAGAAGAAAAACUCAGAGUUGAAAUAGAAUCGAAUUCGGGUGCAACAUCUGAAUAUGAACAAAAAAGGAAGACACUCGAGGAGGCCUUGGAGACCAAGAAGAAGAGUGUACUUAAGGUAUGAUUUCUUUGGACCAUCUCAUUAUGUUAAGUGCAAUAUCUGGUGCUAAAUAUGCUUGGACAUCUCAAGUUUCAACUUUCUGGUUUGAUGCUUUUUUGGCAGCUACGAACCGCUACCAAAGAGUUUUUUGAUGAUACUGAUAUGCCUUAUAUGGAAAUGGAAGCAGAACUAGAAAAGGAAAGGGAAGAGUAUGGUAGAAUGGUUGAUGAAUACGAAUACAUAACUGAUCGCUUAAUAGCACACAGACGUAUUGUGCGCAAGCUAGAAUCACAGUUACAUGAGGAACGGAACAACUUGCUUGCUUUUCUUGAGACUUGUGAGGAAAACUUAAAGAUCACUGAUGAUGUAAAACCUUUGCUCCAAGCCCACUAUGAUGCAUUUAUUAACACACUCAAGAGUGAUGACGAUGAUUGGGACUGGUUUAUAGAGGAGUUGUAUGAUGCUCUACAACUGGAUUCUGAUCACAACAGACAUGAGAUGUUUCCCAGGGUUGAUUUUAUAUCUCCAGUUUCUGCUGCAAUGUCAAAAAUUUUAAAUUUGUUCAGAAGAAAAAAGACGGAGUCCAGUGGUGCUUUUAUAUAUUACGUAAGUUCUACCGACAAAGAUGCUAAGGUGAUAUAUUUUAUGUUCUGAACGCAAUAUUUUGUGUUCAAAUACGCUAUGUUGGUGUGUUAGUAUUUGUUUUUGAGCACAUUAGUGUUCCUCUCUUUUCAUUGUACAUGUUUUUGAUUUUCUUUUUUUAGAACUUAGAAGUUGGUUUUGAAAGUGGAAUUACUGGCUUUCUGAUGUGAUUUCUUCUUUCACUAGUGAAGCGUAAACAUCCUGUAAGAGGAAGAGAGGACGACAAGUUUGAACAUCCUGGCAAGCAUCAAUAUGAAAGAAGAUUUGGGAGUUUAUCAUAACAUAAAAAGAUGAUGUCUGUUUGCACUAUGUCGACUCUAGAUGGAACAAAAUGCGGAGGACAUUGAGAAUAUUGAAUUUUCUCAUAACAGUAACAUGUAGAAAUUUUAGCGUGUUUACCCUGAUCGUGGAGGGUUAACAAGUGCUGCACGAUGGAGGAUUAUUGGUCUAGGCCAACAUAUGUUUCUUUUGGUUGUCCUAAUGUUUCUCAUGUGUGCGGAGUAACUUGAAUUAUUUUAUUUUAUUUUCAAAUUUUCUUAGCCCUUAACAAGAUGCAUAAACCUCUCUCUCUCUCUCUCUCUCUCUCUCUCUUUGUAGUAGUUUUGUAUGUGAAUAGCAUGUGUUCAGGAGAAUUGUUUCUUGGAACUUGUGGUUAUUCAGGGACGAUUGGAGAUGGUAAACUUCUUGCUCGUGUCUUGGGUUUCGAUUUACUUUCUUGCUUUUCAGGUAAUAAUUGUCGAGAAAUUUUAAGUAUUAGAUACAAAAUUAGUAUAUUGCUUCUUAUUCUUAUUGGUAAGGUUUGGUUGCAUGAUCACUGAUGUAGUUAUUCAUUUCAGCUGUUAGCUGGAAAUUGAAUAUGUGCAUCCUUGCAUGCGACCGCCCUUUAGUCUCAGUUUAUCACGUUGGCAUGGUAAACUGUUUUCAAAUAAAGAAUUGCCUUUAUUGUAAAAAUGAAUCUGCGGUUGAUCCUGUAAGAAAAGGCAUCUCAUCCACACGGAUAAAUUUUCUAGAUUGAAUUUAAGAAGUCGUACUUCAUUAAUAUGAGAAUUAGAACACAGAAAGAUGUGGAGAUGUGCCUAUGUGGUUUGAGUUGGUACCAGGUUGUUCUUGUUGAUUUUUUUUUUUCCUCUCACUUGUUAUGUACUGGGAUUGGGACAUUUCGGUUCAGUAACAAAAAAAAAAAUAUUCAGAAUCGAGUCUGAACCGAUGAUAAAACUAGAUUGAGUUUAGUCAUUUUGAAAUGCUAGAACCGAGAAGGAUCAAAUCAUUCUGUUUCGGGUUGGUUAUUCCAGUUCCUUGGUUUGCUUUAACCUUCUGGCUUUUGACUUUGUUUCUCUGCAUUUCUGCUUCUUCUAAGGGGUCCUGUUUUUUACAAACCAAUUCUAUAGUGAUUGCAGAAGUUAUAUAUUUUCAGUACAUGCUUUUAUUGAUGUCUGAUUGUUUUCUGUAUUGACUCUUAAAUGGAACCAAAUUUGUCCAACUUGAUCCUUCAUGUUUAGAAUUGUAGAUCACAGUUAUGAAUGUAUUAGUCAUGAGUAUGUUGUCUCGUUACUGAACUCUAGAGAUAACAUGACGAUCAACAUGCCCUUUUCUUAUAUUCUCCCAAUUUCUCUACUGUUUGAAAUAGAGCUGAUAGUGAGUUAGAUUGCUAAAUCUUAGGUUAUACUUCUAUCUACUUCCAGUAACAAUGGUGGAAGCAAUGAAUUGUAAAGUUGUCCUGAAAUUUUACGUUUUGUUUUCAAGUCAUACAAAAGACCCAAAACAAGACGAUAAAAUAAGCCAUGACCUAUAGCCACCAGUAAAUACAUUCAGAUCCAUCAACCUCCUCGAUCGGUUACCCAAGCUAGUUGUGGAAGGUGGAGACUCUGUAAUUAGAGAUGCUUACACUGUAGUAGUGUAGACUCUAGUGGUUUGUGUAAUCCUGCACUGCAUUGUGCACAUUCACAUGUGGCCGGUGAAUCGGUGCAUAUAUGUUUGCUUGCCAAAUAAUAUGCUUUUGUGUUAUUGAUUGCAGGUCAGUCAGUGUUCUUUGGAACUUCUGGACUGCCAGGGUCAUAUGUUGAGCAAAGAGCUUAGCCAGAGUAUUUCUAUUUCCUGUGUUUUGCAAUCAUAUUUGUGAUUGAAAUCCGGCCGAUCAAGCCAUCUUAGAAAACCUUGAUGUUUAGGUUUUGACGUCAAUUAAUAAGAGUAUGUAUAUUAAAUGAGAUCGAGUUACCGGAAGAAUGCCUGAAAACAAACAACAAAACUCUCCUUGAGCUAUCAGAGUACUAACUAGUUUUCGGCUAAGCUAGAGAUCAAACUCAGUGCCACCUUAGGCUGAACUCCCUGAAGUUUUCUGUUAUGAUGCCCUUGUUUCAAUUUAUUUAUUUUUUGGUUUGAAAUUAAACAGUGAGAUGAAUUGAAACAAGAAACGAAACUCUAGAUGCAAAGGCAUGCUACACGGUGAAGGCAGCUUAGCAGUGUUCAUGUAGGUGACUUACCUGCUAUCUGACAGUAACUCCAGAAGAACUAGAGUGAGCCAAAAAGCUCUUAAACAACAUUCCUAUAAUAAACGUACAUCGUAAUGGAUAAUUAGAAGCGAGGAACAAAUUUACUGUUUCAAUUUUUAUAUCUGCCGACUGAUCUGUAAAAAGUAUGGAUGAUAACCAACUAGGCUUCACAAGCUGUAUAACAUGGUAAUUUUAUGAAGUGGAAUCUGAAAUGCUGAGAAAUAGUCAAAUGCUCUUAGCAUAGUAAUUGGUUAAGUUAGGUGAUCGUCCAAAGGGAUUGCAACUGGUAACCAUUGUAUUAUUGUGCACAACUCCAAGUUCUAAUUGUCAAAAGAAAUUUGAAUACAGAGCUAAGAAUGAACAGAAUAACCGUUUUGUUUUCCUUUCAUUCCCAGAUUUUCUAAACCAGACCCAAGCAACGGUAGGCUUUAAUAGCAGUAAUAGGGGAAAGAGAAUCAGACCCACUCAGCUGUUAAGCAGAGACAAUUGAGUUCACUAUUUGUACGAAUCAUUCUAGUAGAUGCCGCCUUCAUCAUUGAGGUCUUAUUGAUGUAAUUUUUUGCCAUCCUCUACCCUCCGCCCCUGCCAGCAUUCUAUUACUUUCAGGCAUAUUUUGCUGGUCUUGGAGAGGGGCAAGGGGAACCAAAUGUGGUACACCAGAAAGUUUCUCCUGAUCAAGAAUAGGCCAGAUUAGUCAACAAAUACUUUGGGAUUGUCUAUCUCUAUAUCAAAUUAGAUUAUACAUUAGAUUUAAUUAACUAUAUCCUACUAUAAACCUUUCAUUGUGUGAACUGUUAACUGUUAAGUGUAUUUCAUUUGGUUUUUUUUUUUUUUUUUGGGUUAGUUUUGGACUUCACAUAUAUGCAUGAGCAUGAAUAUAAAGAGGAUGGUUUUGCUGGUUGCAGCCAAGAAAAUCGACAAACCAGUUUAGCUCCCAUUUCUAUCGGUCAUUCUCAGUUUGGAUUUCGUUUGUGUGUAUGAAAUGAUGGUGAAAGACAAGCAAACCAAAAUACAAUUUUAAUAUCCGUGUCGCCUCAACCUAAAUAUGCAUGUUCACAGCAAAACAAAAAUUAAACUCUUUUUUUUAGAGACAAAAACUUUACCCAAAUAUGCCAAGUGUGCUCCUGAUCAAAGUUUGCUGAAAGGAAGAGACCAAAGUGAUUCACCUUUCAUCCAAAAUCAAUACCAUUCAGGCUGCUCUCUGAACCGAAAUUCACAGCACACUGCCAAAAAGGAAAUAACAACAUCAGCAUAUGAUUCAUAACAACUUGAAGAGCCUUAGUUAUGCAUAUGAUGCAGCUUAGUGUGUUGAUUCUAAGAAUGCAACUAAGACACCCUAAAUACAUUCUUCCUCAGUAUAGCAUAACAAAUAUAUAUUUUAAAUAACUUAAGACACAUAGAAACAAUAUGGGGAAUAACCUUCUUUUGUUCCUUUCGGUCCCAAGGUCAAAUCAUAACAACGACUGUAUAAGUUUUAGGUGGUCUAAGCUAAAGAAUUAGCAGGGAUUCCAAGUGGUUAGACUUUUAGAUAGUUUCUUCAAGACUUCAAAUUCCACAGCGCACAUAUCUAAAUCAACUGAUUCAAUGUUUCGGCUUAAACUCCAGUUACUUGGUCUCCAAAAAUUUAUAUCAAAGCAUAGUCUGAUGAAACUUCACAGCGUCUAAAAUGCUGUGCCUUCUGUACCUACUGCAAAUCAUGUCAAGUAGCGAAACAAAUUCAGAUUGUGGCAGAGUGACGAUUGUGACAUUUCAGAAGGUAGGAAUAUGCAAGGGGAUUGAAAUUUGCACUUCCAUUUUUACAAUCCACACUCCUUUCCUUUUAUAGUAACUUUUAUAUUGUCUUUAUUCAUGUGUCUUUUAUCCUUUUGUGAAAACUUAAAACUAAAAGAGGAAAGACGGAGUGUGGAUUGUAAAAUGGGGAGUGCAAAUUUCACUCCCCAUAUGCAAAUGAGGGGACAUAAUUCAUAAUUUUACAUCUACUUAGUUUGAUUGGUUUCCACUCAAAACACCAAGCAACAAUAAGAUUCUAAUUGAUAAUGUUCCUUUAGCAAUAUAUAGCACAAAGACAUACAUAACCUAGUCCCCUGGAUUACAGUACAAACUAUCACAUAUUGAUCCAAAGAGAGUGCCUGUCAACCUGUCGAGCCUGCCAGGCCAUAACAAUGGUAGAUAGUUUAGGGAAAACAAGGCAAGAGUUGAAGGCUAAUAUCUCUCUCUGAAAAAUUACACCACAAAGACGUCUACUUCAGAACCAAAUGAGAUUCAAUCAGAAACUCACCCAUUGUAGAUUAGUGUUUGCUCCAGUAGGCCUGAAUAUAAUGGGAAAAGAAAUGACUUCAAAUCACCAUAGUAAUCACAGUCCCUCUCCCGAGUUCGGAAGCAUAACCUCCAUACACAUAACCGUCUUUAUCCUUGAUAACGAAUAAGGUUGGCCCUUUAACGUUCUGCACUGCAAUGAAUAAUUACCCAUUCCAAGCAAAACUAGCUGCAGCAAAUGACAACUGGAAUAUAAAUUUGACACUUAAUCUAACUAGGGCAAAGAACGUUGUAAUCUUUAGUCUUUUCAAAUACUCUGGGGAAUUAAAUUAUCUAUUUGGACCCAAGACAAAUGAUGAAAGGAAAGGCUUUGUUGCAUUAUCUCCCUCUUAUUACCCAACUAUUCCAUUACACAAUUACAGACGAAAGUCACAUAGAUCAAAAAUGACAACUACAGAUAUCAAUUUCAACUGUGGAAAUGGAGUCAAGGUACAAACCUGUGAGUUCCUAUCAAUCCAGUGUGUAGCAGCCAAAUCAAGUGGUCGCCCCUCCUUUGACAACCCAAAUUUUUUGGAUUGAUCUCUUCCUCGAAAACUGGAGAUAUCAACUGUAGGUACCAAGGAUGCUGACAGUGAAUCAGGAAACAUGCCCAGCACACAUUUCUCACAUGACAAUCAUUCCCUUGUAAGCCACCCUAAUUUACUCACAGUGGAAUCCAAAAUCAGAUUUACCCCAUCUUUUUUUUACCUUCUUUAUUGAAGGUUUUAACUUAUCUCAUUUUGAUAUUAUCAUUAAUUUUUUUUUUUUUUUUUUUUUUUACGUGUCCUUCCUUUUGUUGGCAGACAUCAGUCUAUUUUCACUAAUUCCAAUGAAAUAUUAACGCAAACAUUACAGGACAGAAGUUUAAAUUGCAGCUAUUGAGGAAAAAUUAGAUUCACUUGAAAAAUGAACCAAAGUGGCGGAGAGAGAAAAACCAGAACAAACAUGAAACCAUAGAGUAGUUUAAAAAUUCAUCGAAAAAUAUAAUUUAAACAAUGUCAAAAGAGCAGUAAAAAUGUCUAAGCAGAAUUUGAACAUCUAGCAAUGACUUAGAAACAUAAUAAACAACUGGAAUCCCAACUAUAAAAGAAAACAAGUAAAAAGACUCGAAUAAUUGCAUAGUUCCUGGUCCAUUAGUCAAAGUUCCACUCACAGCCAACAUGCUCCAAAGAGGUCUUCAUUAUUCCAUGUUAAGUAUCCUAUCGAGACUUCUUCGGAUCUAGCCUUUUUUGCGGCUUCUGUCCAUCUUGUCCACCAGGGUGAUCAAGCUUCACCAAUAAAAAUAUGAAAGUUAGCUAUUCCACAUUCAAGAAACAACUUCCUGUUCUUGGAAAAAAAAAAUGAGAAGGAGAGUAAAGACAACUUUAAAAGACUCAUAAACUUGAACCUAAUCCUCACAAAUCAUAUUGAUAAAAUACAUCACCUUAUCUUCCUUGACGAAAGAGACACCACUAGACUCCUUUGGUUCGAGAGUAGAAUACACAGCCUCACAGAAAGCAUUAAGAUUUUCUAGUGUCUUCUCCAUCAUUACGCGACUUUUGCACAGCCUAUUGAUUUCUGACUCUUGAUCAGACAACCUCUUCUUUGCCUCAUCCAACCGCUGCGCUACAUCUAUCAGGUGCAUUGCGUUGGAUUUCUUAUAUUCAUCAUACUCAAUUUGGAUAUCUGUUAAAGUCCCAUUUAGCUGCAAACAGAAAUCAAUUCAAAAUCAAUGUAUGUACAUGCUUAAAGAAUCACUAAAGCAAAUUCUGAAUAUAGUUUGGAGUAGAAGAUAUAUAUAUACCAGAGUGUGCAACUUGUCCUCAGCCUUCAAGGCCGAGUUGAGAUCCUCGAGAUGAGAUGUUUGGGUGGAUUUACUUGAUAGUUGUUUUCUGAGGUCAGCUACGGCUUUUUGUUUUGUCUGUUCCAGAACAUAACAUUUGUCCGGCCACCGCUGCUUCUCGUGGAAUAGCUGCAGCGUCUCCUCUUGGCAUUUAAUUAUCUGCAUGUCGAUCAUAUCAGUUGCUUAAUUUCAGUACUGGAAUGUGAUACCUAUUUCAUAUAAUCAGAUAUAGAAUCACAAACGUACCUCGUUUUUAAGCUUCGAAACCUCUUCGUUCUGGCCUGACAUCCUGCCCGACCCUAUUCUAUUCUGUUUGAGAAUCGGAAUUAGCUAAAACAAAUCUUCAACGAUCAAUUAAAGACCAAAUCCUAGCCUGACUCGAUCCAAAUUCCAAUAAAUAAAAAAAGGAGGACAUCUUACACGAGGUUGAUCUUGAGAUGGAGCUGGUGGAAGAAUGAUUCUGUUGGGUCCGAAUCGGCGGUGAGGACUCUCUUUAGGAUGACACAGUCGGUCGGGAGGGCUUAUGCGUCAGCUCCGGGACUUCUUAAGCUCCAGUACUGAACCUGCCCAUUACUUAUUAUUUUUAAUAUUGAUAUCGUAAUUGAAUUAGCAAAUUAUUUUCAUUCAUAUCACAUAAUAUUUAAUAAAUCAUAAUAAAGAAAUUUAAAACUUUAUGGACAUGGAAAUAGAAUACCAAACGAAAUAGGCUAUUUAAUAAGUAAUAAUAAAGAAAUUAAAAACUGUAUGAACAUGGAAAUAGAAUACCAAGCGAAAGAGGCUGAAGAGGUAAAAAGAGCGAGAGAGCGAAAGUUGACAAACUUGGGACUUGAAGGUCUGAUUUGCCGGAUCACGUCCGGGGCAAGGGUUCCUGUUUGCAAUUGGUUUUUUUCCUAAUCGAGAUUCAAUUCGGGGCAAUAUUGGAAUUGGGAUCAAGUUGAGGCUAGGGUUUUGUUGGAAAUAGGGGAAGGAUGUCAAGUGAUGAAACCAACUUGAGAUUGAAUAGGAAAGGAGAAGAACAAGAAGAAACGUAUUCAAAUAAUCUACAUAUCAUUCAUCGACAACUGAUUCUAGAUAGAUUACAAACUUAUAAAGAUGGAGUUCCAUCUGCUACAAUAAAGGAGAGAAUAAGUAUCAAAGAUAACUUCCUACUGCUGGGCCGAUGAGCCUUGAUCUUACCUACAUAUCCUAUUACAUCUUGGGCUAAGCCUUUUACAUAAAGAAGAAGAUACCUACUAUUGCGGUGAAGAGAGAUUGAGGCAUAACGUGUUCCAUCAACUACUCCUCCCUUUGAUAACAUGUUGUCCUCGGCUGUUACUGGAAUGAUCAUUAAUCACCCGAAAUUCCAUUGACACCUACUGACCUACCACGUCACGUGAAUUUGGCGACUCUAAGAUAGCCAUAAUAGGCUUUUUACAAACAUGAGAUUUCGACCACUUCUCAUCACAACUAAAGCAAAGACCCUGAGCUCUUCUUUCACUACGACCACGAGAUGGCCAUUGCCUGAAUUGGGAAUCAAUGAUUACCUCUAGAGUGUCUGCAGUUCGUGGUGAAUUGGUCACGGAGAAAGACGGCUGAGAAGCUUGGAUAUCAUCAAGUUUAGUCUCAUAUAGGUGGGCUAAGCGUUGCGCAGCCGCUAAUGUCCGUGGUUCCGUGACAAGUACAUCAUGUCUAAUUUCCGGCUUCAAUCCACCAAGAAAUUAAAACUUGGUAAUAAUUGAGCUUUCGUCUAUCCGUAGGCUCUACAAGACAACUUGAUAAAAGCUUAUAUGAAUUCACUCACGGUACCUGUCUAUUUAAGAUGCGAUAAUUUCGUCUGAAAAUCAGUGUUCGUCCCAGCCCCAUAGAGCUCCAAGAAAGCUGAUGUUAACUGAUGCCAAGUAGCCAUAAGAUUACGUUCUUCAAAGGAAUUCAUCCAUAUACAAGCAUACAAGCAUCAUAAUUCUUCAAGGAAUUCAUCCACAUACAAGCAACGGGACCAAAGUGGGAAGCCACCGUUGUUGUGUGCUCAUAUGAAGGAACUCGUUGAGAGCGAAGAUAUCUCUCUACCAUAGUUAACCAACCUCAAGCAUCCUCUCCAUGAAAUCUUGGUAAAUCAACUUUUGGAGGCCUGUAGUAAGGAAUGUCAUAUUAUGGUGGAGGAUUUGGUGGCAGAGGAUUGAGGGUACGUACUUGUGGUAACAAUGGUGGAAUUCAAUGGAGGAGCAGAAAAAAAAAUUUGGGGGAUUCGGAAGCAAUCCAUACCACUGUGGAGAGGAAAAAGGCAAUGUGGUCAUGACAUUUGAUGGUUGGAUGAACAUUGGUGAGUUGAUUGAAUGGGAGGGAGAUGGAAAAUCUUGAAGGUUUGGUGAUUGCCACAACGUCAAGACUUGCACCAACGUGUUCUAAAGUGUAGAAAGUUAGGCAGUCAUUUGGUUUUGAAAAGAGGCUUGAUUUUGGUUAAGAGUAGUGAUGGAUUAGUGCAAUUCAUUCUACAGAGUGGAGACCGAACUUUGAAUUUCUUCAAUCGACAUAGUUUUAUUUUCGGGUGGAGAUGAAGAAGAUAGUGAAGAAAGCAUUGGGAAAGAUUAAUGUGAUGAAAAGGAGGAACAUGAGCAGAAGAGAUGGGUGUGGUAGAGGGUUGAGAAGUCUGCACAGUGCGCGCAGGAGCCAUUAAGGCUCUGAUACCAAUGAUGGAACCAACUUGAGAUUGAAUAGAAAAGGAGAAGAACAAGAAGAAACAUAUUCAAAUAAUGUGCAUAUCAUUCAUCGACAACUGAUUCUAGAUAGAUCACAGACUUAUAAAGAUAGAGUUCCAUCUGCUACAAAUAAGGAGAGAAUGAGUAUCAAAGAUAACUUCUUACUGCUGGGCCGAUGAGCCUUGAUCUUACCUACAUAUCCUAUUACAUCUUAGGCUAAGCCUUUUACAUAAAAAAGAAGAUAGCUACCGCUGGGAUGAAGAGAAGCAAUUGCUACGGUGAAGACGAGACUACUGCGGUGAAGAGAGGUUGAGGCAAAAUGUGUACCAUCAUCAAGUGAGGCAGGCACCACGGUCGACGAAAAGGUUUUGGAGCUCCAAGAGAAGGUACGCACUCUUAAUUUUCACUAAUGGUAUUCGAUCUCUUCUAUUAGGCACUGAAUUGUAACAAUUAGUGGUGCUGCAUCUGUUAGCUUUCUCAAUGCCGACUCGAAAGGGACCGGCUCCAGGCCGAGAAAGAGAGUUUCAUGAUCAUGAAGCGGGAAUUAAAAAAACUAGAAGAUGAACUCAGAGAUGAGAAAGAAGCGAAUUCGCUGGCGACUUCUAUAUUCAAUGAAGAAAAGAAGUCACUCGAAGAGGUCUUGAAGGCCAAGUUGCGGAGUCUUCGUCAGGUAUGAUUUCUAUCACCAAUAUAGUCGAUCUCAUUAUGAUUUGGCAGCCUUUUGUAAUCCGGUACUAUGUUCUCCAUAUCUAUACGUGAUUGUCAGCCUUGUUUGCUAUAUCUGGUGUUAAAUACAUAUGCUUCACUCAACGACUAAUGUGGGGUGGGCUAAUUUAUUGAUGUCCACUAUGGAUGUUUUGUUAGGAGAAGCCUAAAAUUUUUAUAGUCUGAUAUGCAAAAGAUCCGCGUGUCUACUCUAUUGUUAUUUGAACCAAUACUUUUUAAGUAUUAUUACUAAAUCUUUUAUAUGAAAAGACAAAGAUGAAAAUGAAAGCUGGUUGACGAGCACAUUUUAUAUCAUAUUAUUAUCCCUAAUUUAUAUAUGUUAGUUACUUGUUUUUAAUUAGUUUAAGUUAUUUAGUUUGUUUUUGUGUUUUUAUAGAUGUUUGUCUAAAUAAAUAAAAUGUUAAAGCUAUGAAAGCAAUUUACUUAUUUUCAUAUAGUAAUUUGAGUCUUUGUUUUAACAUGAGUCUUUUUCCCUUUAAUUAGAUGAAUAAUUGCAACACAUGUUCUUCUUAUUCUAGUAGCAUGUAUGCAUAUAUGCAUGUGUUAAAUUGGUGGAUUAUUUUCUCAUGCAUUAAGUGUGAUGUGUGGAAAUAUUACCAUGACAUCCAUUGUUGAAUUCACUUUUGCUUGUUUGAUUCAUAGGUAUAUAGAUGCAUUGAUACAAACGGAAGAGAGUAUGAAAAAUCUCCAAGGACAUAUACCAUGAAACAAGGAGGCAAGAAGCAAGCAAACAUGAUUCUAGGAACUAAAUCUUCAAUUGUUCAAAGAUUGUGUAUGUAUCUUCUCUUCAUUCACAUGAAAAAUGAGAGAAGGAAGCUAUGGAUGGAAACAUUUAUGGAUAGAGACUUUAGCUAUCAAGCUUGAGAAAUUUGAAAGAUGGAGAGUCAUUUUCACAUGGAGAUGAAGUUGAAUGAAGAUCAUUGUUGCCCUAUAAAUAGAUGUUGUUUCAAGUGAAUAAGAGGGGAGGAGGAGAGAGUGGAGAAUUAGAGACACAUUGUUGCUCUUAGUUCUACCCUUUCUUUAGCUACUUUUUAUAUAAUGUUUUGUAUUUGUUUAAGUAUGUUUUCAAUUUGUACUAUGUCUUGCUAAUUUCCUUAACUAAGGUUAAGGAGGAAACCACAUUAUGAAAUAAGUUUCUUUUAAUUAUCUACAAUUCCCAUAGUGAUGUUAUCCAUGCCUAUGACUCUUGCUUCAAAAUGCAUUAAUAAUCCUUGUUCCUUUCACCUUUAAUGUCAUGCAUUUUUGGUAGUUUGGAAGUCACUUUUAUUAAUCCAUGCUUGGCUUUGUAAAAUAUUUAAUAUGAACUCCUUUGAUCUCUUGUCAUUCAAAUGAGCUUGUUUCACAUUUGAUGCUUUGUAAACACUUUGAUCUUUUGUAGUUUCAAUAAGUUUGUGUACAUGUGAUGCUUUGAUGUUCAUAAUUAAGAAGCGAAGAAGAGUCUACUUUAGAUAUAUUUCAUGUGUGCUUCAUUGUUAAAUCUUGAGAAAGCAGUAGAUUGAUUUCUAGAUUGCUACUCCUAAUUCGGGAAUUAGUAGAUAAUAUUUAGAGACUUAUCAAGUAAUGUGGUGGAAUCCGAUGUCAUAGUUACUUCGUCAUCAAGGUAAUCUUUUAUCUAUUUUAUUUGUCUUAGCUACUUCACCAUCAACUUUCAUUCAACUAAGUUAGUGUUAAAUUAAUUUAGAUUCGAUUAGUUUUUCCUAUUUUCAUACAUUCCAUGUGGGUUCGACCUCACUCUUGCAUAUCUGUGCUGCAACUGAUUCGUGCGUUUGCGAGUAACAUUUUAAAACACAUCAAGUUUUUGGCGCCGUUGCCGGGGAAAUUAUUACUAAAUCUUUUAUAUGAAAAGACAAAGAUGAAAAUGAAAGCUGGUAAAAGAAGAGAGAAAUAAAAAAAAAUUAAACAUAUUUGUUGUUUGAGUGGUUUUAAAUACACACCGUAAAUAACUUAAUACACAUCCCUAUUAUUUGAUAUUUUAAAUCAGAUUUGAUUGGUAUGUUAAAUGACCAAAAGAGACAUGUGUAAUACAAUAUAAAUAUUAAAAAUAAACUUAUAUUUGGAAACUAAUAAUAUGAAAUAUAAACCAAAUUAAAAUAUUAAAAACGAAAACUUAUUUUUGGAAACUUAUAAAGUGAAUUAGAACAAAUUAAAUUUUUAAGAUUGAGAACUUAUUUAGGGAAACUAUUAAAGUAAACAUAAAAUUUGCAAGAAAAUGGAUAAUCAAUUCAUUUCUUUUUUGUCCUUAAAGAUUCAUAAUUUCCAAGUUUAAAGUGUCAAAGUGUCAAACGAUGUAAUUGUUAUGCAUAUGAACACAUAUUUCGUUAUAUUUCACAUAUUUUCCUUUUCACCCAAACACACUAUUCAAAUAUGUAUUUUUCAUCUUGUUUAUCAUUUUCAUGUUUAAGAAUUUGAAAUGAACAAUGAAUUUGUAAGGAUUUCUCAAGAAUGUACGAACAUAAGUAAUAGAUAUGAACAUCUAUAAAAUGUUCAUUUAUAAAACUACAUACUAAUUAUACAAUAAUAAUAAUAGUGUUAAUAUAGUCACAUAAUAUGAUAUUUCAUGGAUUUUUAGAUUAAGAGUAUUUUAGGUACUUUGAGUUGUGUAUUUAGUAAAAUAUUCGAAUGAGAAAUUAAAUAAGUGGUGUAUUGAGAAAAGGAUAUGUAUUAAGUUAUUUGAGGUGAAUAUAUAAAAUUUCUCUUGUUGUUUGCUGUAUCUGAUGCCAAAUACAUAUACUUCGAUGUCUCUCAAGUUUUUAGUCUCUGGUUUGAUUGUUUUUUUUUCUUGUUGGCAGUUCGAGAACGAAUUUGAUGAGUUUUAUGGUAAGCAUAUUUGUGAAUUCAAAGAUAAGGAGGCAGAAGCAGUCAAUGCCAUUAAAAAGCUUAUGUGGUUGCAUGCUAAAUUAAAAGGGAGAGAUGAGCGGUAUCAAAGAGAGAGGGUUAAGGCGCACAAGCUACAUUCACUGAUAGAUAAGAAAUGAAAAAAUUUGAACAAACUCCAAGACCAUUAUGAUGCUUAUAUGAAAAAACUCCAGUAUGACGAUGAUGACUACAGAAUGCUAAAUAAGUAUGUGCGUGUUGUUUUACAACCAAGUUCUACUCAGAAGUAAGAUGAUAUGUUUGUCGGUGUUGAUUUAAUAUCAAUAGUUUCCACUGCAAUAUCAAAGGUUAUUAACAGCUUUCCUUUUAAUAUCAAUGUUAUUGUAACAUUAUUUAUUUCUUACGAAAUUAUUGAAUAUCUUCUGUACGUUUCUCUUUCGUACUGUAUAUGUAUAUGUUUUUUUUCGUUUUUUCAAGUACUGAGAAGAUGGUUUUUGAAACCAAUGGACGUCUGAUGUUCCUUUUCUUUUAUUGGUGAAGGUAAACAUCCUUUAGGGGAAAGAGUGGACAACCAGUUUGAGCAUCCUGGAGAAGCGUCAAUAGGAGUGGACAACGAAUCUUAGCAUCCUAGAUAAGCGUCGAUAGGAAAGAAGCCCUAGGACUUUAUCGUAACAUAACCGGAUGAGGACCUAUUUGGAGGAUGGUGACUCUAAAUGGAACAUAAUACAAGGACAUAGAGAACAUUGAACUUUAUGGUAAGUCAUAACAAUUUUAGGAUAAUAGUAUAAAUGCCUAUCAUCCCUAAAAAUAUAGUCAACAAGAUCGUAAUAAUAGCUGCAAACACACGAUAUCUCGUACGAUGAUACUCCUCCUGAGGUAAAACCCUCAGCUCCAAAUCGUGUGUGUACCGACUCAAAAAGUGAGCGAGUAUAAACACAAUGACAGGUCCAAAAAGAGCAAACCCAUCACACAUAAACAUCACAAGAGGCCUCAAUAGAGUAAUAUCACCAAAACCAAUAGAGAGCAUAAUACUGGAAGCCACAUAAGAACGGUCAAUGAACUUACCAGGCUGCGGUUAAGGACUAAAGGGACAAAAGUCUGAGAUAGUCCAGCAAAUAAGCAGAGCAACAACUAUCAAGGAGAAACAAGCACAAGCAAAAUACCAAACAUGUAACUUGUUUAAGCCGGUACCCCUGGAAAGUGAAAAAAAAAUGAAAAUGUUAACAAUAUAACAUCCAGACACGACCUUUCCUAUAUAUAAACUGACACGACCCAUCCCGAAUUUCACCCUGAAACCCGGAGUAAGUCGUGCGAGGACCACCUCCAAGGAAAAUUUACCGAAAAGAUUGGUAAUACCUCCCUUGAAAAUGGACAACCCUAACCCGAAAAAUUUCCAAUUCACACACUUACUACAACACUUCCAAAAAUAUCACACAAUUAUCCAGCUAAAUAAAAGCAAAUAUUAUUCUUCAACAAUUCUAAACAUAAAGUCAACCGACCGAGCACACCACCGGAAUAAUAUACAAUAAUCCUAAAGUAUUCAGAGCUACUAGACACUAGCGGAAGCAAGAAAACACUAGUAGGUUAAACAUGUAACCUACUGAUGAAAACUGGCGGAAAAGCGGGUAACUAUGCCUCGUCUCCUACUAGGUCCAACCUGAACUCUGCAGACUAGGCAAUUUAAAACGAAGGGCCUAGGGGAAAACAUGUGGAACAGUUAGAGUGAGUGGACAAAAAUAAAUUAAAUAAAAAUAUUUCUUUAUGCUUCCCCAAUUUAAUUUCCAAAUAAAAUAAUACUGCAUGCAAUCGCUCAAAAAGCGCUCAACUCAAAAAAAUAGGCAACUUCACGACCAGCACCGGCUAGUCUCCAAAACUUAAUAAAAUACAGCCUCUUAGGCUAAAUUAUAUAUAAACAUAUAUAAGUGUAUGUAUUUACACUCGUCAGACUCCUUGCAUGAAUUCUAAGAACAAAUUAGAAAAAUAGAAAUUCAUACAAGGCUACUACGCUUGCGUCUAACGCUCAUGUCACACCAUAAUGGAAUUGUACCUCAGUAUGGCGGAAAAAGCACGAGUGUAUAUACGUGUGGACUCCCUAUAUGAAAACCUAAAUAAACCAAAUAAAAAAAUAGUUUUCAUAUAGGGCUACUACGCUUGUGUCUAACACUCACGUCACACCAUAAUGGUAUUUUACCUCAUUAUGGCGGAUCAGCACGUAUGGCUAGCUAGCAUUUACAUAUACAUACUAUCAUCAUAAACAUCCAAUAAUCAUAUCCACCGAAAAUCUCAUUUUCGGGAUCUCUCCAAAGGAGGAAAAUUGCCAAUUAUCCGAAAAAUCAUAAAUCUCAGGUGAAGAAUAUCUAAUCAACAACAUAAUGCAUCGCAUGCUUUCAAAUUAAAAACAAAGUCCACUCACAAAUUAGGCCUAAGUCUGAUGACGCUCCGAGGCUUCCUCUGCUUGGGCCUCCUCUCGUCCUGUUCCAAAUAUAUAAUUAAUUUCCCACCAAAAAACCAAUAUUUAAACAAAAUGGGCAAAAUUAAACGUGAGCCUCCCACACACUCAUCGUUGCCCAUAUUCGCCAUUCUUAACUCAAUACGGCUCAAACUUCGCCGAACAUACCGGCAGCCGUAACAACAACUUCCCACAGAAUACGACUUAAAUCCUACGGCCGGAUUCUACAUUAAUUAACCGCCAAAAAUACCAAACUUCGGAAAAUCACAAACCUAUCCAAAACUCAUCCAAAAAUUCCAUAACUCACUUCAAUAAACUCCCCUUAAUAUUCCACAUUUAAAAACAUAAAAAUCUCCCAACCGGCAGCGGCGGCCGGAGGCCAAUUCCGGCGACCUCCAAAACCUAUGAAAUUUUGAUAGAAUAAUCUCCUCAUCAUGCUCUACAACUUUCCUGACCAGCACAAACCAAAAAUCCAAGCCUAACUGGGCAAGGCUGCUGGGUUGGAGGGCUACAAAACCGUACCAAGCUUGCCCAGAUUGGUGGCCAGAGGAGGGAGUUCCGGCGAAAUGCUUCCCGGCGUCUCCGGCGGGAUUUCUCCUCUUCCGGCGGGUUAGAGGCUCGGGGGCUAGGCCGGGGAGGGAGAGGAGGUGGCGGGGCUCCGAACUGGGCUGGAGCGGCGGCAGCUGGUGGCCGGACGGCGGCAGGAGGACGGCCGAACGAACGGGCAGCGGGAGGAAGAAAAUCGGGGAGAGAGAGAGAGAGAGAACCGGGUAGAAAAGAGAGAAAAGAGAAAAAUGGGUUUGGGCCUCACACCCCAAACCGGUCCACACCUUUAAACAACCCAAUUCCAAAAAUGAAACACCCUGAAAAAUAAUACCCGAAUAAAAAUUACCUUUUACUAGCUAAAAUUUACUAUUUUUACCGUCGUCGUAUUUUCCUCUUACGAAUAAUCCUCCGCACAUAAUCGUCCCCGAAACCCCUCUAGGGACCAAUUAAACUAUUAACUCAAUGACGGAUACGGUAAAAUUCUUAUUAUAAACCAGCUAGUAAAUAAGGUAAAAAUAUAAGAGUCGGGAUGUGACAUAAACAACAACAAAACAUAUUAAAAAACAAAAAAAAACAAAAAAACUUUACAAAUAGGUCUUUUUUUUAUCUAUAAUAGAUGAAAGGUGUCACGGUUGCAACUUGAUAAUCAUCGGAGAAGCAAUAUCGUUGUUCUACCCUCAAUUCUUUAGUUGUUUCGCAAUUGGGCUCAAGCUUAGGCGCAAAAAACUUUACAAGUUUAGGCUCAUCAGUACUCUAAUACAAUUUAAACGUACUCUAAAAAAAGUUAUCACUUGAAGUUCAUAGUAAGACUCAAUACUCCAAUACAAUUUAAACUCAAAAAAAAGUCAUCACUUAAUGGUUGUAGUAAGGUUGGGGUAUUACAUAUACACUUCGCUACUUGUCCCAAUUAAGGCAAGAUAUAAGCAUGGGUUUCGUGAUUUUGCAUUGUUUUUCCAAAAUGGCUCACUUCAUUAUUAUGAGACAUUUGACACGUCUGAAGUGGCCAAUUUUUUCAUAAAAUUGUUCAAUUGAGUACAUAUUAAGGACGUUGUUUCGUAUUGUCAGUCUAUUUUAUAUUCUUGCUUCAAUUAUUGUAUUUGAAUCUUGAACGAUUACCUUAAUAACCAUAGUGCAAGCCAUGAAUUAGAGAAUGUAAAAGUCACAAGAAUUAGAGUUUGACGAACAUAUAGUCACUACUACACAAAAAGUUUCAAUGACGUAUGAAAAACGUUAUGAAAGGGCUUUUAUGACUUUUUUUCAACCGUUAUCUACUUCGUCGUCUAUAUCAGAGUCAUGGUUUCCAUACAUUUUCAAUGGCGUUUGUAAAAUGUAAUGAAAAUUCUUUCAUGACGUUUCAAAUUUUCAAUGACAUUGCCUAAACGUCAUGGAAGAUUUUUCAAAUGUCAUAGAAAACAAUUAACAACAUUGAUCAAUCGUCAUUAAAAUACAUUUCAUGAUGUUUUCCAAUCGUCAUGACUCUUUUCUAAUUUACUAUAUUUAUCAAACAUCCUAGAAACAUUUAUCAUGACGUUGCGAUGACACCGUUGAAAAACGUUAUCAAAUAGUAAGAAUUACAAUGACGUUUAUCAUGAACUUAAGAUGAAAUUCAUAUUAGACUCAUUUUAGCAUUUCAGUUGUUUGUAUGAUAGAAAAAAAGAAGAUGAAAUUCAGAUUCAUGUUGUUCGCUUCCAACAACAUCAUAGAAAAAGUAUAAAAUGACGUUUUUGGGCAAACGUCAUUAAAGUGCUGUCAUCGAAACUUUAUUGUAGUAGUUAGUAAAUCACAAAUUAUGGAAGAUAAGUUGCACAAUGCGAACAUCUUAGAUUUUAUAGGAUUGAGAUUGUGCGUCAUAUUAUGAACCACCCUUAUCGUGUAAGGUGAGAUCAAAAUUUUCUUAGCUUAAUUUCUUCUUUGAUACAAUAAAUUUUGUCUUAAAAGACAAAUACGAACAUCAUACAACUUACACGAACAUGACAUGAUUAAAGACUAAUGAAGGUGCGAAUAGAGAAACACAUAUCUUAAAAGCAAGGAGAAGACUUAGCCUUCAAAAUAAGUAAAUUCCUAAUUUACUUUUAAGAGUGCCCGUAAUAUACUCAACUGUUAAUAUAUCACAACUGAAUACAAAACAGUUAAGAAAUAAAUCCAUAAUGUAGCAAAAUACGGUAAAAAAAUCUAUACAUCCAAUCGUAGUUAGUCAUAAUGUAGUAAAAUUUGAUAUAUGUAGGUAAGUAUGUAAAACAGUGAAAGAGAAGAAAAUUGUCUGAUAUGUCAAACUAAAACUUAGGCGUUAAUACAAGUUAUACUCAUACACCAAUACAAAUAACAAAUUCAAUCAUGUCAACAUUAAAUCAAAAAUACAAUUGGACCCGUCGAGACGGGAUAUUCUUACCCACAAAGUUCAUUCCUUUCUUUUUUUCUCCAAGUUCUGGGCUUUGAUGGCGAACUUAACCCCCAACUUUUGCAUUACGUAUAGGGAAACCCACUAUCGUAGCUAGGGAUAAAUUAUAAAAUGAUGAAGCAAAUGACAUUGACAAAUUUAUGAGUUGACGCCGAUCAUCAAUAUUUCAGCAACAAUGACCACCGCAUUCAUCUGGUAUGGACGUCCUUCCACAAUGCAAUGAAAAACUUUGCUUGCUCGCUUCAGUAUAUCUAGCUUUCCUUUGACAUCAAGACUGAUACCAAUCUGGGUCGACAACGCCAUUGACAUCUUUCUUGUUACUUAAUUAACAAGAAAUUAAUAAUAAGAAAAUAAAAAGAAAGAAAAAGUAAGGCCAUUCCAUUUCAACAAAACACCCAUGCCCAAAUUCCAGUCAUAAGGAUCACCAUUGUCUUCUUGUCUAGUUCACACCAAACAUCCUUGAGCCUCCCUCGUCGUGGCCGGAUCAAAUGCUCGAAGGCUAUACUACGUCUCCAACACCCAAGGCCAGUUUUCUUUUGAGGUUUCUCUUGAGAUAUUUGGAGGUUAUGGUUGAUCGAAACAAUCGGCCAGAGAGAUUGACGUGAUGGGACAGUUACCGAGAGACGACAUUGGAGGAUUGGAAUGGAGAAAAGGAUUCCCCUUAAUGAGUAUGUCGACGUCGGCUUCCAUUGGGGGAGUGGGGAGUUUAGGGUUUGGAGAAGGAGAGAGCGGCGACAUUAAGUAUUUUUUUUUUUUUUUUUUUUUGAAUAAAGAGCUGGUACAAUCAAGCUGUCAUUAAUGAAACCGUCGAAUAUAAGAGGGGAUAUAAUGCCUAAAUCCCUGAAUACAAAGAUGCGAAGUAAUAUCAAGAAUCUCUACAACGUACUUGUAUUCUAACAAGCACCAACUAGCAAAGAAUACUACCCUAAAGGCGAUUCUAUAUUUGUUUUGUCACAAUGGUGGCAUAACAAAAAGAUCAGUAGAUAUGUAGCCCAACUAGCAAAGAAUACUACCCUAAAGGCGAUUCCAUAUUUGUUUUGUCACAGCGAUGACGAUUCCAUAUUUGCUUGUAUUCUAACAAGCACCAACUAGCAAAGAAUAUUAUCCUAAAGGCGAUUCUAUAUUUGUUUUGUCAUAGCGGUGGCAUAACAGAAAGAUCAGUAGAUAUAUAGCCCGACUACAUAUCCUAAUGUCUAAUAAAACAGUUUUUCUACUAUGUUGCCGCCAGAAAACAAAUCUGACGACACUUAAUUUCAUCCUGCCAGACCAUACAAAAUACGCACCGCUUGCCUAGGACAGAAAACACAUACAAGAUGCAUAGACCAGAACCAAGCCCAUUUCGUCCUACCAAAAAAGGGUGCAAAAAUAGUUCAAAUCUCAAAUAGACAUAACUAAAUAGUGGAAAUUGCAAUUAAUGGAAUUUCAAUUGAUGAGAAACUAAACAUUAUUAUUUUAGAAUUUCUCAAGAAUAUAAAAAUCUCUCACCCAAACGUAACGUACAAAAAUUAUAAAAUAUUACAUCAUUAUGAAAGGCUAGUAAUAGAUAAUCAGACGUUUAGAAAAUAAAGUAAUAUCAGAUUGAGCACGAAAAUUACUCCUUAAAAAGGCAGAAGAAAAAACAAGAGUGCCAAAUAUAGCAGUUGAAGUAGUAGCAGUUUGGUUUAAAAGCCCAAAACUGGUAAUAAUGAAAUGGUGAAAGAGAGUGACAAUUUUGUUUUUACUUUCUUUUACCCCCUCUUCAGAAAACAUUCCUCCUCCUCCGGUGGUGAACUUCGGUGAUCCGGCGCUCUCGCGCCCAUUUGUUCUUCUCCCUCCACCGUCCGAUCGCCGGAGGCUCCUUCACCCCAGUCCCACGAUUUCAUUCCCAAUCUCUAUCUCACCUAAAAAAAAUUAAAAAACAGUCAAAACAAUUCCUAUCUAUCUGAUUCAAGACAAUUGCAAAAGCAGGUGUAUGUUGAGAUUUCUCGAGAGGAGUUGUGAGGCCAAAGAUGGGGUUAAUCCAAAGGCAAGUUUUCCCUGUUUGUGAAAGUCUCUGCUUCUUUUGUCCUGCAUUGCGCGCCAGAUCACGCCAUCCCGUCAAACGAUACAAGAAGCUGCUCGCUGAGAUUUUUCCUCGCUCUCCGGUAAUGUACUUGUUCAAUUUUCAAUUUUCAAUUUUUUUCUAUUUUUAUUUUAUCUUUUUCCAUUUUGGAUGGGCAAUGAAAAUUUCUACAUAGAUUAAUUGUCAUGGUGAUUGUAAGGUUUUAGGGAUGUUUGUGAAUAAAAUGCUAUGAAAAUUAUGUUCAUGUAAGGGUAACUUGUUUCCCAAGAAAUGAGCACCUCUUACUGUGAAUUUAUGAUGUGAGGUAUGGAAUGAGGGGAAACAAAGGAAAAAUGUUUAGUUCCUUCUCUUCUGAAACAAAUUAAAUUUUCAUGAUUUGAAAUUUCGAACCACAGAUACAGAUUUUGGUUCAAUUUGUUGUCCCCGAUUAAGCAUAACUGUUAUACGUGUCCAACUUUUCAUAAUGUGGUUGUUCCUUUAGUUGUCUUGUCACUGAAUUAUGUCUAAAAUAUUCUGGCAGGAUGAAGAACCAAAUGACCGCAAGAUCAGUAAGCUAUGUGAAUACGCCUCAAAAACUCCUCUCCGUAUUCCAAAGGUGCUAGCUCUUGUUUUUAUGCUCGAAACCUAUCUACAUGUGGAUCAUAUUGCUGCAUGUGAACUUAAGUGGUCAUCUAUCUAACUUUGGAAUUCUGGUACAUCUUAUAUAUGGAAGAUCUAUCUAGAAUAUCAGAAAAGUUUAACUAAUUUAAAGAUGAUUAAAAGCUUAAUAAUGAAGUUUUCGGUACAGUACUAGUAAGGUAAGGUGGAACUUGGAAGAUGUGAUCAUCGUGUGUUAUAGCAACUACAUCGUUUAAGGCAAUGGUCUAGAUCAGUGCAUAAUUCAAUUCUGUUAUAGUAAAGGGGAUGAAAAGCGACUUUUUGUGAAAGAAUUUAUAUAAAUUAUUAAGAUGAAGAUGAGGAAGCUUAAAUUGUGAGAUGUAUAGUUCAGUGCUGCAUGCCAUUAGUUGAAACGCUGUCUUUAUUUUUAUUUUAUUUUUACUAAAUGAUUCAAGAGUGGUAGCUAAACUACAUAGACAGAAAUUCACACCUCUUUGCAUCCCACCUAAGCAUGGUAUUUAAUUUGAAUUGUAAAAGAGGCUCCGACAGUUAUAAUUUUGUAUACCGUAAAUCUGAUGUUGGCAAACCAUUUUCUAACCUGUUGACAACCAGUUUUCUUUAUCUUCUGGUGUUCUAGGCUAUAGGUCUAAUUUUACUUUCAUUCAUGUAUUCUUUUCUUUUGUUGAUAGACGUUCAUAUAUUUCAGAUCACAACUACACUGGAGCAAAGGUGCUAUAAGGACUUGAGAACUGAGAACUUCCACUCUGUGAAAGUGGUCAUGUGUGUCUACCGGAAGUUGUUGAUUUCUUGUAAGGAUCAAAUGUGAGUUCUUUAGUACGUAAAAGUAAAGAUUAAGGUUAUCACAUAGCAUACAUGUUUCUUCAGUUGUGACAAAAACUGGAUAUGUUGGUUGGAGUACUAAGUUCAUUUCGACUUUCUAACUGAGACAUUAAUUAAUCAUUUCUUGAUAAAUUUCAUAUAGCCAGACAAUCAUAUCGAAGCAAAGAAAUUGUCGCUUAUAACUUCCACUAUCCACCUAGCUUAUGCUUUUACUCUGUGAAAAGAAGGGACACUACUGUACCAACCAUUAUUACACAAAAUAAAUAGUGACAUCUGGUAUCUGAAAUUUAUAUUUGCAUAGAAUUCAGAAGAAGCUAAUGGACUAGAAUAGUGCACAUAACUCUGAGAUGCAGGAUGAUGCUUAUUUUAUUUGCUUUUUAUCAUAUUGGUGAUGCAAAAUCUUGAGACUCAUUUUAUGACUUUUCUCAGAUAGCCAAAGUGCCAAACACAAAUGUGGUAAUAUAUUGGUGUUUUCAGUGUUUUUUUUUUUUUUUGGCGUAAGAGUCUGUACAAUGUGUGUGCGCGCACACAUGCAUGAAGAUGAAAACAUUCAAACUAAACAUUUUUGUGUAUCAUGUAACUUAGCCUUUUUUUUUGUCAGACUCAUUGUGUUUACCAUGAUCACUAGAGUAAUCUUCAUGUGUGUCAUUGUAGUGUAAAAUGAGUAUGAGACACAAGAAAAUUACUUUCUGUGGGUUUGUCUUCUAUUUCUUCCAGUAGUCUUUUGUGCAAUACUUUUCUGUCUAGAUGGUGAGUGAUUUUUUGGGAACUCACACAACUAUAUUCUGAAGUUGUUCACUGCUAUGCAAGCUUUGAUCUGUUUAUGUUUGCAGGCCAUUGUUUGCAAGUAGUUUACUUACCAUUGUUCAAAUUCUACUUGAUCAAUCACGACAUGAUGAAAUGCGCAUUUUAGGAUGCCAAACUCUUUUCGAGUUUGUGAAUAAUCAGGUGGGAAUUGUUCUGUUCUUCAUCCUUCAGAUUGUUUUGUCUUUGUCUUUUUCUUCUUUUCCAUUUGAGAUAAUUAUUAGAUCAUGUGACCUUUUUGACUAUGCAGAAGGAUGGUACAUAUAUGUUUAACCUAGACAGCAUGAUUCCAAAACUUUGUCAAAUAGCUCAAGAAAUGAGGGAGGAUGGGACGGCAAUGAAAGUGCGGGCAGCUGGGCUUCAAGCUCUUUCCUCAAUGGUAAUCUAUCCACAUUUUCUUUUUGUUGUUACUUCAUGCUGUGACCCUUAUUUUGCAUAUAUUAUCAGAAACUGACAAUUGUUAAAUCCCAACAAAAAAAAAGAAAAGAAUUAGAAGGUUCAAAAUUCAGUAGUAAAAUUUUCCAACAAUUUUGACCAGGAAUCCUAAAGCCAAGUUCUUUUUCUUCCACCCAUACUUCACUGGAUGUAUGUAACUGUUUAUUCAUUGCCCCUUGCCCCCUCCCACCUUCACACACAAAACAAAGAGAGAAGACUAUAAUGGGUAAUGCAAUGUCAUAGUCUAGUUCCCCUGCUGUAUGUAUCAUACAUAUAUACCUGCCUUUAACUUUAUGCGAGUCCAUUAUAUAGUAGAACUUGGCAUCUAUAAUAUGUUUCUCAACUGAUUCUGCUGCCUGUUUUGGUUUUAAAGAAUGAUCGUCGAAUAGCGAAGUCAUACUUUCAGGAUGUGAAGGAUCAAGUGUUAGACUUGGCAUGUUGAAAAUGAGUCCCUUAUCUGGCAUACAAAUCUAGAAAUAAUAUCAUGCUGCUCUCUGGCAGUUCGAAACUUUGAAUUAUAAUUAGGCAUUUCCUUUUCUAUUUGUUAUCACAAAUCCUUAUCUAGAAGACUGGGACUUUUCUUGCUGGAUGGAUUUUCUGUCACAAGCACCGUCACGCUUGAGUAGAAUUUAACAUUGUGAAAUAAUUUCAUGUGCAGGUUUGGUUCAUGGGUGAAUUCUCUCACAUUUCAACAGAGUUUGACAAUGUAAGUUAUUUGGAAUUCUUUCUUAUUUUAGAUAAUUUGUUGUCUAUCACUUUUCUUGAUUGCUGAUUCCAUAAUGGCAAAGAAGUGAUCAUGCCCUGUUCACAUAAUUGAUCCUGAUGUUUAGCUUCCAGUAACUUUUUAUUUUUGUUUUAAAAUCAGGUUGUUUCAGUUGUCUUAGAAAAUUAUGGAGGUGUAAAGAAAAAUUCAGAACAAGAUGCCCAGUUUGGAGAUUUGGAAGAAGUUUCUCCUUCAGUACAACCCAUGAGAAGGAUUUCUUCCUCGAGGUUGAUAGUAGGUGAAAAAGGGGACGUCAAUGUCUCAGGGUACUUUUUUUCUUGUACAAUGCUUAGUAAUUGCCGCUGUGUAUCCCUUUCGUACCUAACAAUAACAUGUACCUUUCUUCUGCUUUCUGUUGUUACAGAGAGGAUUUGCACAAUCCUGGAUUUUGGUCAAGGGUUUGCCUCUAUAACAUUGCUAAGUUAGCCAAGGAAGCUACAACUGUACGGCGGGUUUUGGACUCUUUGUUCCGAUAUUUUGAUAAUGGCAAUCUCUGGUCUCCUAAACAUGGACUUGCUCUAUCUGUCUUGAUGGAUAUGCAGUUAAUAAUUGAAAAUUCUGGUAUAUGAAUAUCAUUAGAUUUCUUUUUACUUUUUUGUCCUUUGUUGUCUUUCUCCUGCAAUCUUUUCAUUUGAUACUUUGAGGACUUUGUAAUUUCUUGCAGGGCAGAACAGGCAUUUCAUAUUGUCCAUCUUAAUUAAGCAUCUUGAUCACAAGAAUGUUCUUAAAAACCCAAAUAUGCAGCUGGUCAUUGUUGAUGUUGUCACCUCGCUUGCUCGAGAAACAAAGGUUCAAUCAUCAGUUGCUAUAAUUGGUGCAUUGAGUGAUAUGAUGAGACAUCUGCGAAAAAGUAUACAUUGCUCACUUGAUGAUUCAAAUUUGGGGGCUGAAGUUAUUGAAUGGAACCAAAAAUUUCGAGCAGCAGUGGAUGACUGCCUUGUUCAGUUGACACAUAAGGUGAUGGUAACAUCUUUCAUAUUUCAUUAUAAGUUUGAACUUCUCGUCCCCUGUGAUAGAAUUUCUCUUCUGUUAAAUAAAUUCUAUUACUUUUCACAAAGAGGGAAAAAUAAUUUAUGCCUAAUAUUUAAAAUUUGGAACUAAACUUUUCUAUAUUCUUAUGUUUGGCAGGUAGGAGACGCAGGUCCUGUUCUUGACAUGAUGGCUGUGAUGUUAGAAAACAUGUCUAAUAUUACUGUUAUGGCGAGAACUUUGAUUUCUGCUGUUUACCGUACUGGUCAAAUUGUGGCAACAAUACCUAAUCUGUCAUAUCAAAACAAGGCAAGAGUUCAUCAACUCUUACACUUGCAUUGAUUUACAUUUAUUUUUCAUUAAUUUACCACAACAGUUUCUAAUUCUCAUUUGUUUCCAUUUUCUGGUUUGAUUGUCUGGAACUCUGUAGACCUUUCCUGAGGCAUUAUUUCAUCAGCUACUCGUAGCUAUGGUCUAUCCUGACCAUGAAACCAGAGUCGGUGCACACCGUAUAUUUUCUGUUGUUCUUGUUCCAUCUUCUGUUUGCCCCCGUCCUCUUGCUGCUACUCACCACGCUCCAAAGAAAAAUCCUAUUGGAAGGACACUCUCAAGAACAGUAUCUGUGUUUUCUUCUUCAGCUGCUCUUUUCGAGAAAUUGAAGAAGGAGCCAUCUCACUCGCAAGAACACAUCAGUCAUGACACCAAGGACAAUGCUUUAAUUGGUGAAGAAGCAAAGAUUACUAACCACACUAUGUUGAACAGGUUGAAAUCCAAGUUUAGUUUAAAAAAACACGAAGCGGCUUCAAUUGAGCUAGGGGCUCAGGAAGCUACAGCCAACAACCAUCCUACAGUUAACAGAUUGAAGUCGACUUUAAGCCGAGCCUACAGUAUGAAAAGGCAAUCAUCAACUAUGAGUACUGAUUCAACAGCUCCAAUUGUUCCACAAAAAGAAUCGGUAUGGAUUGUUGAUUCUGUUAUCUAUGGUGAAUAGAAUGAACCCUUAUCGUUUUCUGAUGACCACUUUUCUUUCUCUCUAAUUUUUGCAGACAAUGUCCCUUAGGUUAAGCAGUCGCCAAAUUACCCUUCUGCUUUCAUCUAUCUGGGCACAGUCCAUCUACCCUCUGAAUACGCCCGAAAACUAUCAAGCAAUUGCUCAUUCCUACAGCCUUGUGUUGCUAUAUGCUCGGACUAAGGUAUAACUUUCACUCUUGUAGGUUUAGCUAUGCAUUUAUGAUGACAGUCUUUGUGGUUAUGCUGCUUUAUCCAUUCUUGUGCAAAACUGCAAACACAGAUUUUUCAUUUAGUAUGGACUUGCGAACUGAAUGAAAGGUUAAAGCAGCAUAACCACAAAGAUUGGCAUUAAAAAACUAUGCUGCUUUAUCAAUUCUUUGAAUCAUUUCUUCGCUUUUUUAUUUUUCAAAUGCAAUAAGCUGAUGAUGUAUUGCAUAGUCUUCAUAUUAUGUUUUUGGAAAGUGGGUAUUUUUUGGGGUAAAAUUUAGCAUUUUUAUACAAUACGAGCUUUCGACAAAGAAAGCUAGCUCCAAGGAUGCAUGACCCAUGUACACAAGUAUGCACCAUCUCUAUUUCCAGUACGUAUUAACACUGUCGGCUUCUAAAACUAUUAAACAGGAAACUUGGAGUAAGAAUAAAAUGAUAAGCUUCAUUCAAAGCAUGACAAGAAAAAUUCACUACUAUGUGUGUGACCCUCAAGUUUAGACUCAAAUAAACACACUGGCCAUGGAUUUUGAGUCUUCGGUCUCUCCUCUGCCACCGAGAGGAAUAGAGAAAAACAAAAAAGGAAAACGGAGAAUCCAUUUGCAGUUUUUCCUUCUUUUUAUUUUAGUUAGGGAAUGGUACUAGAGAAAACUUAAACUUUCAGCUUCACUGAGCACCUCAAAUAGUGUACUUCACCUCAUCAUAAAUAUCAUCGUCUACCUAUGCUUCAUUCUUUGGGGUUAAAACCAAAAUCACUAAUCUUUAGUAACUGAAGACCUAUAAACUACUGAAGGAGAAAUACUUUAAGAAAGCAAUCUAUGCUGAACUCAAUUUCAGUGACCUUGUGUUUACUGUUCUAAGUCAAACUUCAAGAAGACAUGCCUAGGACUCUUGGAAGCCACUUGAGAACUCUUUGACUUGAUAGUCAAAAUUUUCCGAAGACACGCCUAGCGGCCUACUGUACAUUUUAUUUCUGCAUUUCAGAUGAAAAUGUGUCUAUAACCGCUAUACCAGAUAUCCAAGUUGGUUCACUCUUAUUCCAAAUAUCCAAUCUCAUUGUCCCCUAGGCUACUUGCUCAUUUAAUUUUGAAGGAGUCACAAUGGGAGGUCUCUCCUUGGGCUUGCUGGGAAGUAGAAAGGCUACUGUGUUCUGAGGAGGGGAUAGGCUAUCUAGGGAAAUAAAGAAACUGAAAGGGUGCUGUAAUGGGUUUAGUUUCAGGAGCGUAUCACCCUGUUACCAUGUUAAAUAGAAGAGAUUUAGUGACAAAGGAUUGCUGUAUUUGAUUUACAAAAGUUAUAGUACAUCGAUCAUUCCUAGUAAUCAGAAGUUGAUAACUACUAACCGGGAGAGUAAAUCAACUUUUAUGUAUUCAUUGCUCUUGUCAUAACUCUUUGAUUUCUUUCUGUUCCUCUUUUUCACAUUUUUCUUUCUUUUGAUCUGCUGUUUCAUGUAGAACACCUCCCAUGAGACUCUGAUCCGCAGUUUUCAACUAGCAUUUUCAUUAAGGAGCAUUUCUCUUGGUGAAGGUGAGUACUCAGGUCCAAAUAGUAUUCAUAGAAUUAUAACUUCUUGUAAAUUAUGAAAUUCUUUCAAUGCAGUAUUAAAGUUUGAUUACGUAGGUCAUAACUAUACUUAUCUAAUAACUGUAACAUUUAGGAAUCGAAUGGUAUAAAAAGGUUCAAUUAGUGAUUGAGGUUUGGUAGUAUUAUUAUACUUCUCUCUUGUUAUACUUGAUUCUUCUUUCAGAAGCCAGAAGGAUAUGAUUUUGAUGAGGACGAGAUAUUAAAACGUUAGUUUGCUAUUCUGGAUUGGAUAAUGUAUGCUAACCUCAUUGCUUUGAAAUAUGAUGGUUAGAACUCACAUUGGGAAGUCGUAAUGUUUUCCUUGCGCUGUUUUUUUCUAAGUGGGGGAUUUCUUUUCAAAUUUUCAGGGUUGCAGCCGUCAAGACGCAGAUCUCUCUUUACCUUGGCAACAUCGAUGAUUAUCUUCUCAGCUAAAGCCUACAACAUUGUUGGCCUUGCUCCUUCUGCUAAAGCAGCACUUGCAAAUGAAACAGUAGGUGUAACAGAACCGGUUUAUCUUUUUGCUUAUUUAUGCUCUAACUUCUUCAUUGUUGUGGAACAAACCCCCUAGUGCACACACACACACACACACACACACACAUAUAUAUAUAUAUAUAUAUAUAUAGGGUUUCUUAGUCUUGGAAGUAUGUACAUAGAUAUAGAGUUUCUUAGUCAUGGAAGAAUGUACAUAAAUUUAACAUCACUUGAUACUGAUUUGCAUCCUGUAAUGACUUGUUUAUCAGGUUGAUCCAUUUCUACAGUUAGUUGAUGACUCCAAGUUACAGGCUAUUGAAUCUGGCCCUGACCAACCAAGGAAAGUUUAUGGAUCAAAAGAAGAUGAUGAAGAUGCUUUAAGGUCACUUUCGGCUUUAGAAAAAGCUGAUACCCAAUCUAAGGAAUCAUAUGCUACCAUGAUAGUGAAGACACUGGCAAAAUCAUCAGAUGUAAAUAUCCGUACUUGAAGAUAUGAGACGUAUCUUAUUUGUUAUUAGAAUUGGGAUGCUGACUGUUUAGUUGUACUACAGGAAUUUUCAACUAUGAGACAGCAGUUACUGAACGAUUUUCUUCCUGAUGAUACAUGUCCUUUGGGAGCUCCAUUGUGCAUGGAAACUCCCGUUCAAAUCAACCAAUCUGGCUUACCAGAAAAUGCAGCUCCUAAUACUGUAAGUUACUUGAAUCAUUUCAACUUUUUUUUGUCUAUAUCUGCAAACAAAAUAAAUGUACACAAUGGGUUUUACUGUGCAGGUUGAGCCUCCAAUGUUCAUAAUUGAUGAAGACGCUUUACCCAGUGCAUCUGAAAGUCAAACAGAUACGAACACGAAACUGGCCGUAGAAAAUCUGAGCCUCAUCAGCGUCAAUGAACUUUUGGAUUCGGUAAGUAUGGUAUCAUGCUCACUGAUAUAGUGUAACUAUAUAUAGUGUCAAAAUGCCUUUGAUGAAUACAGUAGUUAAUGUAAUGAAAAUGAAACUAUAUGAAUUGUUGCUGACCUAAAUGCUAACCGUAUUGAGAACUGAUUCUUCUUUGGGAUUUUACUAGUUCUGGCUUUAGUAGAGUUGGGGUAUAUCCUUAGCAAAGAAUGAUAUACUAGUGUUUAACUCAUCAGAGUGAAACCAAAAAGAAGGAACUGAAGAGAACUAUGUUGGAAUUUCUAGAUUUUUCCAUAGCUUCUGAUUCCUUCUUCUAACAAGAGUGUAGUUUCCUGUUCACAAUUUUACAAAGAUAUGAUCAGAGGAUCCGGAAUAGGCAAUGACAUGGAUAUGAUAAAAAAGUAAUGAGUUUGCAUAUAGGUCAUUCCUCAAUAUGAACAAGCCUCUUCUUAGGGAAGUGUGGGCAAAAGUGAUGAGGGGAUAUGCACUUUGAAAUUCAGGAUUCCUAGAGGUAAAUAAGAAAGGGGAGUAUCAGAUAUGCGUGAAAUGAACACUAUUUUUGAGUCUUGACCCAAAAAAAGCAAUGUAUUUAUGAAUAAUGUUUGUGACAGAGCUUGUGACUCCAAGUGAUUCGGUUUUCAUCAGAAAAUGUGAAACUAUGGCAAAAGGAUUCUAUCUUGCGUGGUUUUCAUUUUUAUAGAUCAGAAAACAUUUAGAUCCAGUACUAAGUAACUGCUCUUGUUGUUUUCAUGAAUUGCUACGUGAUUAGUGAAUGCUAGAGACACUUUUCUUGCAUCUUUGGGGUUCAAUGAAAACCGUUUCUAGCUAUGUGGAAGCACUUUAGCCACUUCCCACGCUUCCCUUAGCCUAUUUGCAGAUGCAGAGUCCAGACUACAACACGGUCAUUAACUAGGAAAAAGUGAUAAUGGGUUACAUGGGGAAUAUGAUGGCUACUGUAGUAGAUGAUGAAUUUGAGAAGGGUGGGUGGUAGUUGCUACGUGAUUAGUGUCCAUUGCAAUGGUACUAAACUACUAAUCAUAAUGGUGCGUAGUGCCAAAUGACAGUGGUGACAAAACGGAUUCAGCUAGAUUGGACUCUUCUUGCACUAAUUGGUCUACCUCUUUGAUUAGGAGCUUGUACAUAUUUCUAAGCAAGUGGAUUUGUAUGCAGGUUUUGGAGACAACUCACCAAGUAGGUAGAAUAUCAGUUUCAACUGCUUCAGAUAUCCCUUACAUGGAAAUGGCUGGCCAUUGUGAAGCCCUUCAAAUGGGGAAGCAGAAGAAGUUGUCUGCAUUCACAGUUGCCCAACAAAGGCAAGAAAGUUUGAUUAGAUUUUCUACUCAGGAUCGCAGUGUAUUAAACGAAGUGCCUCCUUCGGUUGUCCUGGGUGUUCCUACGGUACUUCCUUUCUCUUGGAUUGACAUAUUAAAUGGAAAAAUAUUGGAGAUCUGUCCUUCUAUAGCAUGCAUUAUAGUUUUUAUUUGAUCUUUGUGAUUCUUGUGUUAGCCUCUUAGUCUUUUAGCAAAUUGUUCUGAGUCUUGAACCUGCCUGGAACUGCAGAGUGGUAAUCCAUUCCUUGAUGCAAAUGCUGUUCCGGUCAACCAACCUGUUGGCAAUGGUCCGAUGCCUUGUGCAACUGGAUUCCAACAUUAUCCCCGCUUUCAGCUACCUGCGUCGAGCCCCUAUGAUAACUUUUUAAAGGCUGCUGGUUGCUAAUUUGUAGAGAUAAGCUUGGUAGCCAUUGUAAGAAUUGAGUUUUGCAUUGGAGUAACGAGUGAGUCCCAAGUUCAAUCACUGAAAACUCCUUGUUUGUAGUGUUGUUGUUCCUGAUAUCGGCCUCACCAUUUUUUAUCCACAAACCAGUGCCUUCAUUCAUGUAUUCUUUUCCUUUUCCUUUUUCAAUGGGAGGUUUUAAUUUUAUGAGGGUCUCCCUUGUACAUGUUUUUGGUAUGGCCAGGGCUUAUUCGUCUACCAUUGAAUAAAAUGUACAGAUUACAUUUUGGGUAGAAGAGGAAUCUACAAUGUAAGUAAGAAAACUGCGUAAUGAUUUUGGUUUACAUGAUGAACACCUAGCUAGGUUGAGCUAGUCUUAGUACUUUCACCUUUACAAUCACAGUAACUUUUCACCUAUUGCAAGCUUGCUCGUUAGCUCAUUCCUCCUCCACCUAUUCUUUAAGUUUCUACUUUCUAGUAUGGUUCCCGAAUUCCAUGAUUGUCCAAAUUACUUUAUUUUUCCAAGGCUAAUCAUUUGCAGGUUUUUUUUUUUUUUUUUUUUUUGCUCAGGAGGCUAAUUGCAGCUUUGUUCUAAUGUUUUGAGGAUUGUAAAUUUGUUACAUACCCCGUAUGUAAGAACAUACUGUAUGUAUUUGAUAUUGUUUAAAGUUUGUCAUUAUUUAUAAAUCUUGUGGAGUUAUGUGGCUAAUUUUAGGAAGUCCAGGCCAAUUGUGGCUAGCCGGCCGGAUCGAAAUGUCAUGGCAUAGGUGACAGCACCCCUUAGGGCUAUCGGAGGAGGUCUUCGACGAGGAUGCUAUCUACGACCAAUUCUUUUACCUAUGUGGGCGGCUUUUGACAAAUGAAAUGAGUAGAAUACUGAGGUGUAAAGGCACCAACGUAUAUGGAGUUGGUGGCUACAAGUAAUGAGAUACCAGUGUUGUCUCUUUUGUAUGGAUAUCUAGGCAGAGUCCGACUAUAGAGACCUCGAAGCAGGUGAUUGGUGUUGCCACUGAUGCUAUACUAUGCAUAUGUCGGCUCUAUAGAGGUCGAAUGUUAUUCACCUUGAUGUCAGGUGGCAACUGCGUCGUUGUUGAUUCAUUUAAAACGACAUUUGAAAGGUGGAAUUGGAUCGUCCAUGGAAGAAGUUCUUUAUGGCUUCUCCGACGGUAAAAGUUGAUAACCAUGUGGCUAACAUAACAAUGUGUCACUUUGGAUCUGUCCUAAUAAGAAGAAAAUGGGUAGGCCAUGGGGAGGUGUACAAAUAGACCUAAGGCAGCUAGGAAACUCAUUCCUAAAGUGACAUAUGUUAAGAGGAAAGAGAAGUUCUUUGGUUAAGGAGAGUACUUUUAAAAUUGUUCGUGAAUGUACUGCGCGUAGAUGGAAGCAGUAGGAAUGGAGGCUGAAAAGUUAGAGUUUGGGAUGCGCUCUUUAAUUUAAUGAAAGCGUCUCAAUUGUGGUUUGAGUUUUGAUCGGUUGGUACCCUUUAGUAUAAUUUAUGAACCUUCACUUAAACUGUUAACAAAGGCAAUCCAAACCGUGUUAAAAUGAUAGGUAUAUUUUAGAUUUUCAGAGUCUAUAGGCUAAAUUUAUAGUCUAUUUAACUCUUAUUAUUUGAACCUAUGAUUUUGUUAUCAUGAUAUACUCAUAUCAACAAAUUUAAGGGAAAAUGUCUAUUUAGUACUAAUUGUAACCCUUUAUUGCCUAUUUUAAUGACAAUCUUUUCUAUGAGCCCAUUUGAAUGAAAGUAAACUUUUUUUAUGCCCAAAUGGUUAAAUCUUUACUAAAGUCUUAACAAACUAUAUUAUUUUAAGACGAUUUUGCCCCCAUCUCUUCAACAUGAAAAAACUUGGCCGGAACCUCGGACUCCAUUCACCGGCCACCGGACUCCGGUCACCGGCCGUCGGACUCCGAUCACCGGCCGCGGGACUCCGGUCACCUGAAUUUCUCGACCGCCGGACUCUGGUCACCGGAAUUUCCCCAGUAACCAGUUACUGACCCCCAAUAACCAAUUACUGACCCCUAGUAACCCUAGUAACCAGUUAAUGAUCAAUUAUUGACACCCAGUAACCAGUUAUUGACCAGUUACUGAAUUACUUUAGUCACCGGCCGCCGGAACUAAGUUACUGACCCCCAUGAUUCCUUAAAAGGCUAUUGACCCCGGGUAACUCAAUUACUGACCCCCAGUAAGUCGAGUUACUGACCCUCAAUAAUCGAUUACUAACCCCUAGUAAUCGAUUAUUUAACCCAGUAAUCGAUUAUUGACCUUCAGUAAUCGAUUACUGACCCUCAGUAAUCGAUUACUGACCCUCAGUAAUCGAGUUACUGACGCCUAAUAAUCUGUAACUGACCUCAAUAAUCAUGUUCAAAUCUUCACCAAUAUCUUCAAUUCGUUGACCAGCCACUCAAAAUUUCUUACCUCUUUCUUGACCGACCUUCUUCCAGUGGCCGAUCGACACCAACCAACGACAUUUUGAAAACGAAGACGUACUAUGGCGUCGCACAGCUCCAACUCCCUCACGCGCCUUCGCUUCCCCGUUGUCCUAGCCAAGUCUGCAGUCAGUGCGGAGCGGCAACAAGCUCCUGGAAGUAGACGACUCCUGAUGGCGACGGUGUCCAGAUCGAGAAGAUGACACCAGAUUCUAGCUCGUUUGAUAGCGAAUCUGCCGAGAGAGAGAGGCCAGAUCUUUGCGAACGAAGGGGUCGACGUCCUCGCCGUUGAAGAUGGCGGAGGAGAGGAGGAGUUUCGAGUUUCUCGGCAAGUCGCCGUUAUCGGUGGCCUCCGCCGGGGUUACCGAGACCGACGAGACCUUUCAUGGCGUGAUGACAGCGGUAAUGGUGAGGAGAGAGAGAGAGAGGAUCGGGUGAGAUGUGAGUGAGAGGAGAGAGAUAGCUAGGUCAGUUUUUGGGUAAAAAUGUCUUUUCAAUAAAAUUCAUUGGAAUGGGCUACUCAAUCUUUUUUUCAUUGAAAUAAAGUUUACUUUCCGUGUUAUUGUGUAUUUGGGUAUUUUUCUAUAAUUUAAUAUAAUUUUCGAUAUUAAAAAGAUUACAAAGGACCGGAAUGUAAUUAAAAAACAGUCAUUCUGAGGGACUGAAAUGCAAUUAAAAUAUGGACUUUGUUUAAUGACCUCUGUCUCACUCUCUCUCUGGAAUCUUCUACGAUCGUUGAAAAAUUGAUUCAAUUGAGCCAGAAAAGCCAUAAAGCUCAGAUCUUGCAACUCUCAUAGAAACUCCAAUCCGAUCAGUAAGUCAAGUCUGUUUGUCAACCCGCCUUAAGAAAUAUGCAUUUGCAUUUUUCAAGUGUUCAAUCUAAUUUCAGCUGACUUUCAGUUUCUAGUUUAUUCGAAUUAAAUUGAACUGAAUUGAAUUGGGUCUUUGCAGAUUUUGGGUUAUAAAGGUUGUGACUUAAUACAAUGGAGGAUGUCCAGGAGCAGCAGAGUCCCUCACUUGGUAUUUUACAUCCUUCAUUUUCAGUUAUCAUAUCUUUAGAGCUAUUAUUGUGUGAUGUUGAUACCAGGAAAGUCCAUCACUUUCCAUAUUGUUAAGCAUUGAUGCUUCAUUAUCUGAAGUUGAAUUCCGGGUUUCGAUUCUAGUUAUGGGAAGUUGUCCGAGUAGCAAGAAAUCACACCACCAAGUUUAGUGUUAUGUGCAUAUAGAGUAAUAUAGCACUUCUGAAUCUAAAGAAAAAUUCGCACAGACCAGGUUGUUUUAGUAAUAAUCUUAGGUGUAAUCUGUUUUCGUAGUGUAAGAACAGUCAAGAGAAGGAAUCUUAGUUGAAUCGUAAGGUAUAAAAAGACUCUAAAACUUUGGGGAUGCCGUUACCUUCCUUGAUACUCUUCCUCUGGUAAUGCUAGUUUUGUUAGCCUUGGAUUAAAAUGAGUCCUCAGACAUUCAGUUAUCUAGUGCCAUACUGUUAGGAAGUGGGUUUUAGCUUCAAGUCAUGGUUCUUGAUUCAAUAACCUUAAGUUAAGGUGGUUUUUGAGUCGUGGGACUGCAUACAAAAACAAGUUUUCUUUUUAGUUUUAUUUUUAUCUACAUAUCUCUUGUCAAACUGUUUUAGGUCUCUUUCUUAUGAUUGGUUACUUGAUUAUGGCAUCUUAUGUUUUCCGUGACUUGAUUAGCAUCUGAAAUUUACGUAAAUUUUGAGAAGACACGAAAUACUUGGACAACAAUGACAGUUCCUUGUGCUCCCCAUACUUCGAUUUGUGAUUCCUCCAUAUAUUUACUUUGAAUUGCGUGUAUUUCAAUGUUAAAAUAGUAGCUAUAAGGGAGAUUUUCAGCUACAUGAUACCUGUCUUGUUAAGCUUAAAGAGUAAGGUGUUUGUUUUCCCCUCUUCUUAUGAGUGGAGCAAUUACAGAUACCAUAUUUUGUUCUCUUCAAUUGUUCUAUUGUAAGACAUCCGAGCUUUAGAGACAUUGCAAGACAUACUAAUGUCUGUAUCUUUUCUAGGUCAAGAUGGUGAAAACGAAAUAGUCAUUGAAAAUGCUGCAUCUGUUCAUGCGGAACGUCCUCAGGAUGCUAACGGCCCCCCAAAAGUUAAUACUAAGGCAGAAAUUCUUCAUGACAAAGUUAAGAAGCAAAUCAUUAAGGAAGGCCAUGGUCCAAUACCAUCCAAAUAUUCGACAUGCUUCUGUAAGUGUCAGAUGGUUUGCUUAAUUUAAUACUUUCGAUGUGGUAACCUUUGAGUACUCGUAGAAAAGUUUGUCUUUCUGAUGAUUCUCAAGCUAGACUUCUCACCUGUUGCAUCAAAAUUUAUAUUUGGGACAUCAAAUACUAUUGCUUAGAAAGAAGUACAUUUCAAACUAUACAUACAAGACAAGCAAACACCUUAUGUAUCUCGUAUAAGUGAUUUUGAAGAAAACACAAUCACCCACAAAGUACAUAUACUAUAUCAUUGGGAGGUUUACAUAUAGGGUAGAUUAGCUAGAUAUUUUACUUUCAAUUUUACUUUUGAUGGUGGAAGUAAUUAGCUAAUUUAUUAAUAUCUGAUGACUUCAUACGUGUGAUAGUGCACUACAGGGCAUGGACUGAGAGCACACAGCAUAAAUUUGAAGACACAUGGGAUGAACAAAGACCACUUGAAAUGAUUUUAGGAAAAGGUAUUUGGCUUGUCAAGUAAUCUGUUGCUAGUAUUUUUUUUAUUAUUAUUCUAAAUAUAUGGAAAUGACUGUUGAUGAGUUGCUUGUUCUUACAUGUUCAACCUGCAUUGAGUUUUGGAAUUUGUAUGUUGCAUUAAUACACCUGAUUAUGUUUCGUCAUCCUGAUUAUCAUGUAAUUACAGAACUACACCAGUAUCUGUAUGGAGUUAUAGACAAGUUGCCAAAAUAUAAAAUGAACCUAUAGUUUGUAAUGUUUUUGUUACUGCAACACAGAGAAAAAAGAAAUGACUGGCUUGGCUAUUGGUGUAUCCAGCAUGAAGGCUGGAGAACGUGCACUCUUACAUGUAGGCUGGGAAUUAGGAUACGGAAAGGAAGGAAACUUUUCUUUCCCAAACGUUCCACCAUCAGCAGAUAUAUUGUAUGAAGUUGAGCUUAUUGGAUUUGAUGAGACCAAAGAAGUAAGUUGCUUUCAGUUGUCCUCCCAAUUAAUUAUCAAUAGAAGGUUCGAUUUAUUUUUAAGGAAUUGACUCGAGUAAUGUACUAAAUGUAUAUCUGCGGAACUUUCCUUCAUAGGGGAAAGCUCGUGGUGAUAUGACUGUGGAGGAGAGGAUUGGAGCAGCAGAUAGAAGAAAGAUGGACGGAAAUGCUUUAUAUAAGGAGGAAAAACUGGAGGAGGCUAUGCAACAGUAUGAAAUGGUUACGAACUUGUGAUUCUUAGAUAUUACAUUUAUGGUUCCAGAUGAGUUCCUGAGUUUCACAGUUUCUUCAGCUCGGUUUCAUGGGACAACAAUCUGAUGGGUGUUUUCUGCUUCUUCUGUCAGGCAAUAGCAUAUAUGGGCGAUGACUUCAUGUUCCAAUUGUUUGGGAAGUACAGGGACAUGGCUUUGGCUGUUAAAAAUCCAUGCCACCUUAACAUGGCAGCAUCCCUGAUAAAGCUCAAGCGAUAUGAAGAAGCCAUUGGACAAUGCACUGUUGUAAGUAUAUGCAAUCACAAGAAAAAAUAUAUUUAAUUUAUUACCAGCAAUUGUAUUAUUCAUCCGUAAGAUACUACGAAGGUGAACUAUAGCAAAGCAAAGCUUAUUUGGGGACUGGGAUACCAGAAAUUUGAGUCAUAAUAUUCUUCAUAUAGUGCUUGAGAAAUGGGUGGUCUUUAGUGUGGCUAUGAUCCAAUGCAAUGACUUUGAAGUCUUACUGGCAGGGUUUUGAUCAAUAAUCAGAGUCGGGAAGUCCAUGCUUAAUUUGAACCGUUGUUCAUAUAAUAAAGUACUGCACUAUGAUCUUUGUAGUAUACUAGUAUGUGCCUAUGACUCUCCAACCCAGCCGCUUUUGUCCUUGUCAUGGGAUAUGCUUUAUUGACAACCCCGAUGAUACUUGCUUUCAGAGACCCAAUAGAGUAUUGUGAAACUUAUGUGCUAACUAUGUUCGGAUAAUUGCAGGUACUGGCAGAAGAUGAAAACAAUGUCAAAGCCCUAUUUAGGCGAGCAAAAGCCAGAGCAGAGCUUGGGCAGACAGAUGCUGCACGUGAAGAUUUUCUAAAGGCACGCAAAUUUGCUCCUCAAGACAAAGCUAUUGCAAGAGAGUUACGCCUGCUUGCUGAACAUGACAAGGCUGUUUAUCAGAAACAGAAGGAGAUCUACAAGGGAAUUUUCGGACCAACUCCGGAACCUAAACUGAAGCAAACUAAUUGGUUGAUCAGUAUUUGGCAAUGGCUGUUGUCAUUAUUCUACAGUCUCUUCAGGCGUGAGAAGCGAAAAGCUGAGUAGUCAAAAACACUUGAUUCUGUUUUUUUUUUUUUUUUUUAGUCCAAAGAGACUCUUGAAGUGUAACAUAUCUGAGGAGAUUCAUGUACUAGUGUUUUGAAUAAACAUUGAAGACUUGCAUCAUGAUCCUAAAGGUUCACUCAUUUUCAAAUUGUGAGGGGACGAUUCUAUGCCUUUGAGUAAAAUCUUAUACGGCAACAGUUUUCAUGCUAUAAGAUACAUGGAACGGAUUACUUUUCAGCAGGAAUUUGCUCGUAUCAUUUUACCUUGAUUAAGUUAAAGGAACUAGAAAUCAACCAAAGCAUUACCCCGAAGACUUGAGCCAGAAAUCCAUUUGCAGUGUCCACUUUAACGUUAGAUUUUACCUUGUACGAUUGAAAUUGCAGAAGAAAAACAGAAGUUACCUUGUGAAAGUUGUCGCUGUAAUACAAGUAGGAAAGCCAUGUUCAGAAAUAGAGUCGGUUUCUAUUUACUAUUUUUUGGUUGUUUCUUGUGUUGAUAGCAAUACCAUAAGACCAGAAUGACAUUUCGAUCAGGUAACACCUCCAUUUCAUGCUGAGUUACUAGCUCUACUCUACAUGGCAUGAACUUGGCCCCGAGCAUGCACUAUGAGAAAGUUGAACUUGAGAUGGAUGCAUGAUGUUUGUUCAAUCUUUGAAUCAAUACACAAGAUUGCUCUACUAUGGGUUUUCUGCUUGAAGAUAUAAGCGAAUUUCUGAGGGUAAUUCUCAUUACAAGGUCAACUAUGCUCAACGUAGAGCCAAUAAAAUGGCGCACCAGUUAGCAAGUCAGGUUUUAUCAUUGCUUUCAAUUUUAUAAAGAAUGGCACUUUAAACCGUGUAGUCGUUCAAUUUUCGGUGACCUCUAUGAUUGCACUGUGUACAUGUGUUAUAAAUGGUUAAGAUCACCGUGUAAAACUGUAAAUACACAUGCAUACAAGAAUUUAUAAAAAACAAAAUGUAUUCCCAGUUUCCGUUUGCGGUCCAGAGUCUCACCCUAUCUUGACUAUAAAGUCUCUCACCUCCAUCUCACACGUCUGUGUACUUAGUGUAGUCUAGUACCUUUCUCCACAUCUCUUAGUGGUAGUUGCAGUCUCCUUUUCAGUCCAACAUAACCUAUCAAAUAGCAGGGAAAGGUCAAGUCUGAGCCUUCAUCUGGUGAUCUGGUCUAUGGUUUAAAUCCUCCGUUCCCAAUAUUCCGGCAGGCCAACCUAUGCCUCAACGCCACGUUGUAGUUGCACCAAGACGAACCACCAUCCAUAUUAUUCUAAACCAAAAUUCUUGCUUGCAGGCAUAUAAUAACACUCUGAUUGAUGUAACAUACUGAUACCUCAAGCAAGCACAAGGAAAACAAAGGGAAGUUUUAAGGUAAAUGAUUUGAUUGACCACCUACUACUGCUUAACCACAUUACAAUCAGGCACCAUCCCAGGAUAUAUCGAAACUUUUGAUCCACGAUUUAUCCCCAGAUUCAUAAAAGGGGAGGGGAGAACUAACUUACAACACAUAACGGGAGAUGACGCUCUCUGUACAGAUUCUGGUUAGCAGUUCAAACACAGAUACAAUAAAUACGACUACAAAUACAACAGAAGCUACCUUGAAAAUAAGCCUAAAGCCGGCUACAUCAAAUUGGAGCCGUGAUGCUAAUAGUACAACAUACAAUUAUCAGCCAACACGAGGUUAGAAUUACCUGCUGCGCUGACAAAUUCUAAAGCAAAUCUUGUUCAUCUUGCAAAUCACAACGAAAGGUUUCGCUUUGUUGCUUCCAUUUUUAAUAGAAGAUCUUUGAUAUCCGCUUCCAUCCUCAUCUUCAUAUUGGAAUAUUCUCGAUGAGCACGAUCCAGAGACUGCAGUUCCUCGAGUUUCUGUUUCCGCAUUUCCUCAGCCUCAACGAAACGGAGUUUUGUUAUUCUACUCCUAUAUUCUUCUUCAAUUUUCUCAUUCUUUGCCAGUGCUAUGCGUUUCAGCCCCUCAGCUUCUUUUCUUGCUUCGUCCGCACGUGUUUGGAACAUUUUAGCCUCAGCCUGCUUGAUCCUCACAAUACUCUCUAACUCAUCGAAAACAGGUUCUUUUUGAGAGCUCAUGUGCAUCUCAGAUUCCAUCAUGCGCUUAUCAAGUUGGUCAUAGUUGAAGCUAGGAAGAAUGCUAGGAGCAGAGUCCAACUGAGGGGCCUUCUCUGUAUACACAGACUUCAGCCAUGCUGGUUCCUGGCUUGGGCCAGCAAUACCACUGUUUAAUUUACCUUGAUCCUUGCCAGAUAAAAUGGGUGUUUUGCCCAACUUGGAACUGUCAGCAUCUGCAGCUAAAGGAAAGAAACUUUAAUGUCAGCCCUUACGGUCAAAGACCUUCGGCUAUCAGAACCAGAUCACACAGAAAAAGCUCAUUCAAUUUCAAGAAAGAUACAAAUCAGAAGCUCCAAGCUAAUGUCAUUUGAUGGAAUUAAGUUCCAAGUGUGUCACCGUUACACCGUAUUUCUGAAUCUUAUAUAAGCAUUCAAAAGCAGUUCAGAUUUACUUAAGCAGAUGUUUCUGCUAACUGAAAUCCUACCGAUCUACCACUACAGAUGCCUGACUACCAAAAUGCUAAAAACAUAAUGCAUUAAAUAUAUAGAAAACAUUGUUACGGUUUAUAUAUAGCAAUUAUAUUUGAACUCUGGUAUUAGUAUAACUGCCAUAUAAAGCAGAAAAGACUUCUCCCUAAGAGCUUGAAUUUUCCCCCCACAUGUACAUGUAAACAAAAGGCUUAGCUGCUUCUUUAUUAUCUAAAUUUACAGCAGAAGACAAUUUGACAACUUUCAUCACUAUUCACUAAGAAUUGCAUUACUACAUCCAUAUCUUAUAAAUGAUGUGUUUAGCAGAUUUCAGAUAGGCAAAGUCGGUUUGGGAACAUAUGGUGCCAAGGAAUUGGCCUAUUCUGUAAUACCUCAAUUUCUCAGCAUAGAUAUUUUUGGCAAGAGCAGCUUAAAAUCAUUCCUAGCAAUACUACUACUGAAAAGAAGCAAGAUACCACACAUUAUGACCUCAGAACCAUUAGGGCAGCAGAACACAAAAAAAAUUUGCAUAUAAAUCAAACAACUUACCCAAGAGGAAAGCCAUUAUGUAACUGUAAACCUCCGGAAGGCCAGACUUAUUUGCCAAUCUGACAAGCGAUUGAUCAGCAAUUUCGUACAGCUGUCUCCCUCGCAUGUCCUUGCUGACAACAAAAAUUCUCUUAACAUAUUCAAGUUCCCUGGCAAGAUUUUCAAUCGUCCAAUCCUUGGCAAAAUUCUGAAAAACCUCCUUCACAAAGCCAAACAUUUCAGAAGGAUGAUCACAAGCAACACAAUGAAAUUGCAUCUCAGUCGUCCCUUGAGAUCCAGUCGCACUGCGUCCAUUUCUAAUAUAAGAUUCCCGCAAUGCACAAUCAGCAUGGCACCAAUGAAGACAAACAUCGCACCCAAUCCAACUACAUGUAUUUGAGGCCAUAUCAAACUUUGAGCACACAAGACACAUGCAACUGCUGCAAAAACCAGUCUUUUGAGAACAGACCUUGCAAUCACAUUCAUCCACAGGCACAGGACUCUGACAAGAAGGAUUUCUGCAUCUCAAGUACAGAAAAAUUUCAGCCAAAUCAGAAGAUGACACACUGCUCUCUUGCUGAAGAAAAUCUGGUAGACCAGUCUUGAGAGCAACCAAGAUUUCCAAUUGUGCCCGGUGGGCUUUUAGCAGCGUCUCCAAGGUUAUGUCAGACCUGUUCUGCAGUGCCUUCUGAAAUGCAGAUAGUUGCAUGCGCUUAUCCGCAUUUAACAUAAUCUCGCGAAUACUCUCCUUCAUACAUGCUGCGGAAUGUCCUGUCAUUUCAUGAAACUUCUUCGCCAUUACAUGUACUGGAUCAGAUACUAUCCUGGCAAUGAUUGUCUCAAGAAAAUCAGCCCCACCGAUGAGCAACUGCUCUUUUUCCUUCUGGCUGCUAGUCCUAUAUAAACUACCACUACUUUUCUCUCUCAUUAAUCGUUUUCUGUCAAAACUAUAAUUUGAUCCCAUCUCACGAGAUCCGACACUAUGCGAAGGUGACCUAACAUCCUCAUGGUGCUUUGGUUGCCCUCCUGACAACUGCUUAUGGAAGCUUAGCUGCCUUUCAAAUCCAUUAGUCCCUUUAGAGCUUCCUUCCGGAUGUUUAAGCUGUUGCCCUUGCACAGAUUGACCAUUUGUAACACCGGACUGUGGAUGAGAACCAUUGCCGGUGAUCAAAGUUUUUUGAUAAAAUGGAACCUCCUUGGUUUUAGCCUCAUUCUGAGCUAGUGCCUGCCAAUCAAUUCCCUGGAAAAGGGGGCGACUUUUAACCGAUUGCUCAAAGUCCAUUGAAUUCUGGGUUGUUAGAGAACAGCUAGGAUUGUGAUAAAAUGACUGAGAACCUGAAAAAGAUACUGACUGAGUAAAUCCAUCCGAGUUGGUACAGAAAGUGUUAUUUAAAGACUGUACACUCAUUGCUUGAUCUGGAGAACCAGGAGUGGCACCAAUAGGUAACAAAACAUUAGGCAAGCUUAGUGAAAGGUCAAGUGGCUCAAGAACCAACUUCUCAUCCUUCACAUUAACACCAGAAUCAGCUCUCUCCUGCCUCCUAACAGGAGAGGACGUAAACAACUCGAAACCCCUGGUGCUCGGUCCUUCCAUAUCAUUGUCCAUGCAAGUCAGUCGUUCUCUGGAUUCUCUCUCGGCCCAUCCACUAUUUUCAGCUGAAUCCUCCACAUGAGCCACGCUUUUCCCUUUGUCCUUGAAAUUCCGAGUCAAAUCUGCACUCAGAUUCAGUGUCUGAACUUCAGUGUUCUCCUCUGUCUCUUCUCUAUCAGACUCUGUCAUUUCAUCAUCCUCAGCCUUCACUUCAAGGUCUAUCCCCAUGUCAUGGUCUGUCUCCUCUUCCUUUUCCAACGCCCUCUCUGAAGCCACUUCCUUGCUCACUUCCUCCUUACCUUCUUCCCUGGACGAUUCUUUUCCACCAAAUCCAUCUUCGCGGUCUCCUACAUUUCUGGUCUCCUCAACCGAAGGCAAUUCAUCUUCUUUCUUUUCCUCUUCUUUCCCCUCACAUACUCCCUCUUUAUUCACACCUUCUUUAUCCAAGCACGCAUCGUUCUCCUCCAUAACCUUAGUCUCCGUUUUGCCCCCAACCUGAACUCGGCCUUCUUCCAUUUCAGCUACAGCUUCCGGUACCAAUUUAGGUUCUUCACCUCCAUCCUUAGCUUCCGGUCCAGCUUCAGGCUCAAGCUCUCCUUCCUCCAUUUCACUACUAGUCCUACUUCCACUCUCACCCUGAACCUCCUCCUCCUCCAUAGCCUGUGCCUCUGGCUCGGGUUCCGGCUCAGGAAGAGGUUCUGUCUCCGGCUCAGGAACAGUCUCCCUCUCCGGCUCAGGCUCCCUCUUAGGUUCCGGUACCGGCUCCGGCUCAGUCUCAGGCUCAGGCUCAGGCUCACUCUUCUUGACCUCAACACUCUUGGAUUGCUCACUGCCAACAGAGUCCUUGGACCAAGUCGGCGACUUCGACUUGGAGGUCGAAGAUUUGGACGAUUUCCCGUCCUUAAAUCGCCGCGGCGGAGACCUAACCCUCGACGGCGACCGGAGACCUCCUCCGACUUUCCCUCUCUCCUCCAACCUACCACUAGUACUCCUCCCUUCCUCAAACUCCUUCCCAAACCGCCGCCACGACAACACGCUCCCUUCCCGCCGCGACCGGUCCCUCUCCGAUCGGAACCCUUUCGGAAACUCCGACCCCCUCCUGGACCCGCCGCCGCUAAAGCUCUCCGACCUGUGCAUCGAACUCCGAUCGUAACCUCCGCCAUACCUAUCGAUCCCCUUCCUCCGCUCGAACUCGUGGUCCGGCGGCGGCCUCUUCCUCACCAUCCUCGACCCGCCGCCGGCAGCCACCUCGCGAUCAUCGUCUCCUUUAGACCUCGCGGCGGAGGAGGAAGAAGAAGAGAGCAAGCCCUUGCGGGGAGUGUCGGGUUUGUUGUUGUAGUAGAAGCUCCGGUGCGAAGAAGAAGACGAGGUCCGGCUGGGGUACGGGUUCGGGCUCGGGCUCGGACUCGGAGUCGGAUCCUUACCGUAAGAAUCGAGAUCCUCGCUGGAUCUCAGCCUCUUCAUUUUUUAAAAGAGAAACAAAAAAGAUCAAGUCGCUUGUGUAUUUCUGGUGGCGUUGAAACUACGGCGAGCGCCACGUCAGGUGGUGGUGGUGGUUGCGGAGUCACAGAGCGGCGGAGGAGGAGGAGGGGGAGAGGGGCAUAAUUGGAAAUAGGGGGAAAAUGAAGAGAGAAGAGAGAGAGGAAAGAAUCCAAGGAUGAUGGUGAGUUCAAACUUUGGUAGGAUGAGGAGUCAACGCUGUUUUAACUCCUGAGAGAAGAGAGAGAGUUGAAUACGCAAACUGCGCAUUGAACUCUGUGUCCGGAGAGUGCAAAGCAAAGUAGGAAGGCGCGUGUUUCUACGCGCAACUUUUUUCUCUUUUUUUUCUCCGAUGUGGGUUUCUAUUUUCUCUUUGAGUUUGCAAGUAUCUUUGGUUUUUUAUAUUAGAAAAUAACAACCCGUUACAAAACACAAAAAACCACCUUACAACAGAUUUAAAUAAAUAAGGAUAUAAGCCCAAGCCCAUAAUGUAUAGUCCCAUGCCCUGUCAGCAAUUUUUACGCAAAAUACCAAAAAAGCCAAUAUUUUCUAAAAUAACUACAAACCUGCCACUGCCUCCACCGAAUAGACCCGACUGCCUAAAUCCCACACUUCUCCACCAUUUCCAUUCAAAACAACGAUUCUCUCUCAAAAUCCCAAGCCCUAAAUCACAGUAGCAGAAAGAUUCGUCCCAAAAUUCUCCACCAUUUCCAUUUGAAACACCGAUUCUCCACAGUAGCAGAUCGACGCUGUCACCGAUUUAGGUACUUGUUCAAUCUUCUAUGGCUUCUGCAUGUCUGAGAUUAAGUUUUUAGCUUCGCGAUUUCUAUGAAUUUGAACUCGAUUUCAUGCAUUGGCUUUGUGUUUGUGCAUUUCGUUUAGAUUUGCUAUUAUUUGAACUUGAAAUCACAAUUUCAUAAUCGAGCAGUAACACUGAGUUUAUAAGAAUCUGAAAUUCAUGUUUUACAGUGCUUUUGGAGGCAGUAGCAGUUUAUAGAUUUGAUUAAUGGAGGAACAUGGGUCUACAAUGAUACUAAUGAGCCAAAAAGAAACAGAGGUGGCAAACGAUAUACAGGUAAUUCUCUAUGCACAUGCUCAUUUGCAAUAUCUCUGCUACUGUAUUUGUAUCAUGAGUUCUCUAUGUAUUGAGUGUUUUGCAACUGAGAAUAUGUUUUGAAUUGUCUAGACUAGUUAUAUGAAUGCCAUUACACAUGCUAAAGUAAAAUUGAAACUGCUACUGUUUCAAUUGUUUCCUGUUAACUUGAUCAUGCUCAUGCUACUGUUAAAGUAAUAUCUCUGCUACUGUAUCAUGAGUUAUCUAUGUAUUAGGUGUUUUGCAAUUAAGAAUAUGUCUUGAAUUGUCUAGACUAGUUAUAUGUCUGCUACUACACCUGCUGAACCUUAAGAAUCAACAAAAAAUCCAAAAAAAAAUGCUAAUGUUAAAGAGCUACUACUACACGGACUAGACUAGUUAUGUAUCUGCUACUACACUUGCUGAACCACAAGAAUUACAAAAAAACACUAAUGUUAAAGAGCUGCUACUACACAUACUAGACUAGUUAUAUGUAUGCUACUACACCUGCUAAAGUAAAAUUUAAACUGCUACUGUUUCAAUUGUUUCCUGCUAACUUGAUCAUGCUCAUGCUACUAGGGAAAAGAAAGAAAUAUAUAUGCUAUUGUAACAUGAGUUGUUUAAUUAUGAUUUUCUUGCUACUGUGCACAGGUGCAAAAUGAUAUGAAUACCAAUCCGAAAGGGAAGCGAUAUAAGACUCUAGCGCGUAGAAAAAAGUUGCCAAGAAAGAUAAACAACAGCAAAAAGCCAAGGAAGUAGACAAGGAAGUAGACAAGGUUAAAAAGCCAAGGUGUGAGCAGAAAUUUCGUCAAUUCAGAUGCAACAUGUUGGCAUUUGAAGAAGUAUUCACCAAUGUUUGCAAGGACUUAGGUGAAGAUAAAGAGAUUUUAAGAAAUGAGCUAAUGAAGACACCAUUCUGGGAUUUCAUAUCAAUAUAUGAUAGACAUUUGGUGUCAAAAUCCACUGCAAAGAAGUCGGAUAGAGAAAUUCAGCGAUUGAUUGACUGCUACGUGCCAAAAUUGAAGAAGUUCAAGUUUGGAAACAAGGUGGCUGAGAUCAGUGUGUCUGAUGUAGCGCAGAUUUUUGGGGUGCAAAACCCAAAAAACGGGCUCAAUGUGCCGACCCCACUUGAAGAUUCAAAAAAGCCUGUGGAUAAUUCAGUGGUGCAAGCUNNNNNNNNNNNNNNNNNNNNNNNNNNNNNNNNNNNNNNNNNNNNNNNNNNNNNNNNNNNNNNNNNNNNNNNNNNNNNNNNNNNNNNNNNNNNNNNNNNNNNNNNNNNNNNNNNNNNNNNNNNNNNNNNNNNNNNNNNNNNNNNNNNNNNNNNNNNNNNNNNNNNNNNNNNNNNNNNNNNNNNNNNNNNNNNNNNNNNNNNNNNNNNNNNNNNNNNNNNNNNNNNNNNNNNNNNNNNNNNNNNNNNNNNNNNNNNNNNNNNNNNNNNNNNNNNNNNNNNNNNNNNNNNNNNNNNNNNNNNNNNNNNNNNNNNNNNNNNNNNNNNNNNNNNNNNNNNNNNNNNNNNNNNNNNNNNNNNNNNNNNNNNNNNNNNNNNNNNNNNNNNNNNNNNNNNNNNNNNNNNNNNNNNNNNNNNNNNNNNNNNNNNNNNNNNNNNNNNNNNNNNNNNNNNNNNNNNNNNNNNNNNNAGAGCAAGGGGCUGUAAAACAGACAUUGAGAGAUACAGUAAGACUGCUUAUGCAACUCUAUUGAAUUUUACUUUAGCUUCUUAAUUGGGUUCUGCUACUACCAAAUUCUUUUCGCAUUAAUCUGCUACUACACUGAAAAACAAUAAAAAGCUACUGCUACAAAAUAAAUCAUAGUUGUUAUUUGUUCAAAAAUAAACUAUUUUUUUUUUAGAACCCUAUAUUUAUUAGAAAAACACUGCACUGCAGGUGGAUAAUGUAGUUGGUGACGAUGACUUUGAGAACCCUCCACCGAAGAAUGGUGCUACUACGCAUGAUGAGGUGGGAAAGAAGAAAGCAACGAGGAAGAACUUGAAGAAGGGUGCUACUGCACAAGUUGAAGAGGGUGUUUCUGUGGUGGCUGAGAAGGGUGGUCCUGCAGAAUCAGAAGAAGCUGCUCCUAUGGUGACUAAGAAGGGUGCUACUACACAAGCCGAAGAGGGUGCUUCUGUGGUGGCUGAGAAGGGAGCUAGUGCACAAACUGAAGAGGGUGCUUCUGUGGUGGCUGAGAAGGGUGGUCCUACAGAAUCUGAAGAGGAUGCUCAUGUGGUGUCUGAGAAGGGAGAUGGUGCGCAAACCAAAGAGGGUGCUAGUGUACAACUUGAAGAAGGUGCUACUGCACAAGCCAAAAAGCGUACUCCUGUGGUGGCUGAGAAGGGUGCUACUGCACAAGCCGUAGAGGGUUCUAGUGGACAAGCCGAAGAGGGUGCUACUUCAAAAGCCGAAGAGGAUACUCGUGAAGGCCUUGAAUCAUUUGACAUGACAUUACAUGGUUGGGUAAGUAUAAAACUUAGAUUACACUUACAGUAGAUAUGAGUGGAAUUAAACUUGACUCAUUUAUUUGUCCUUUUUUUGCAGCUGGAAGGGAAUGAAAAAGCUGCUGCUGUGGACGAUGAAGGUGAAACAUAUGAAGAAGCAACAGCAAACACGGAAGAGAUUUUGAAGAAGUUUUUUAAUAAAGAUAAGGAUGUGGAUCAAGGAGGAGGACAUGAAGAGUUUGCGAGUGAGAAAAUGUAUGAUCCAGAGGACUUCAGGUUGUAUGAAGAGUUUGUUGAAAAGGAGUCUAGGGAAUUUCCAAAAGCAACUAGUGAUGAGGAGUUGGAAUANNNNNNNNNNNNNNNNNNNNNNNNNNNNNNNNNNNNNNNNNNNNNNNNNNNNNNNNNNNNNNNNNNNNNNNNNNNNNNNNNNNNNNNNNNNNNNNNNNNNNNNNNNNNNNNNNNNNNNNNNNNNNNNNNNNNNNNNNNNNNNNNNNNNNNNNNNNNNNNNNNNNNNNNNNNNNNNNNNNNNNNNNNNNNNNNNNNNNNNNNNNNNNNNNNNNNNNNNNNNNNNNNNNNNNNNNNNNNNNNNNNNNNNNNNNNNNNNNNNNNNNNNNNNNNNNNNNNNNNNNNNNNNNNNNNNNNNNNNNNNNNNNNNNNNNNNNNNNNNNNNNNNNNNNNNNNNNNNNNNNNNNNNNNNNNNNNNNNNNNNNNNNNNNNNNNNNNNNNNNNNNNNNNNNNNNNNNNNNNNNNNNNNNNNNNNNNNNNNNNNNNNNNNNNNNNNNNNNNNNNNNNNNNNNNNNNNNNNNNNNNNNNNNNNNNNNNNNNNNNNNNNNNNNNNNNNNNNNNNNNNNNNNNNNNNNNNNNNNNNNNNNNNNNNNNNNNNNNNNNNNNNNNNNNNNNNNNNNNNNNNNNNNNNNNNNNNNNNNNNNNNNNNNNNNNNNNNNNNNNNNNNNNNNNNNNNNNNNNNNNNNNNNNNNNNNNNNNNNNNNNNNNNNNNNNNNNNNNNNNNNNNNNNNNNNNNNNNNNNNNNNNNNNNNNNNNNNNNNNNNNNNNNNNNNNNNNNNNNNNNNNNNNNNNNNNNNNNNNNNNNNNNNNNNNNNNNNNNNNNNNNNNNNNNNNNNNNNNNNNNNNNNNNNNNNNNNNNNNNNNNNNNNNNNNNNNNNNNNNNNNNNNNNNNNNNNNNNNNNNNNNNNNNNNNNNNNNNNNNNNNNNNNNNNNNNNNNNNNNNNNNNNNNNNNNNNNNNNNNNNNNNNNNNNNNNNNNNNNNNNNNNNNNNNNNNNNNNNNNNNNNNNNNNNNNNNNNNNNNNNNNNNNNNNNNNNNNNNNNNNNNNNNNNNNNNNNNNNNNNNNNNNNNNNNNNNNNNNNNNNNNNNNNNNNNNNNNNNNNNNNNNNNNNNNNNNNNNNNNNNNNNNNNNNNNNNNNNNNNNNNNNNNNNNNNNNNNNNNNNNNNNNNNNNNNNNNNNNNNNNNNNNNNNNNNNNNNNNNNNNNNNNNNNNNNNNNNNNNNNNNNNNNNNNNNNNNNNNNNNNNNNNNNNNNNNNNNNNNNNNNNNNNNNNNNNNNNNNNNNNNNNNNNNNNNNNNNNNNNNNNNNNNNNNNNNNNNNNNNNNNNNNNNNNNNNNNNNNNNNNNNNNAAGUUUAUGUGUUUGUAUAGGAGGGCUACUACUGCGUAUUGCUGUUUAGUUUGAGAUUAUGAACUCAUUAGGAUCACAAUUUUUCUCUGUUUAGUAGGUCAUGUUUUUUGGAUAUUGCAGAUUAAUCAAUUGUGUGGUCGACUAUUGUUUUAUCAUAUGGAUGAAUAUAGGCAUGAUGUCUCUUGAUAUCUUGUGAUCUUCAGAUGUGAUGCUCUUGAUUACAUUGUUUAGCAAUGCUGCUACUGUAUUUGGAGUGUUUAGGUUUUUGUUGUUUAAAAUGCUGCUACUAUAUUUAGUGUUUAGGUUUCUGAUUUUUCUGGAAGCAUAUCAUUACAACAUUCCCUUGUUUUGUUGUAUGAAAUUGAAAGGCUCUUUAUAAAUUGGCAUUUUCCUUUGAUAUACCACAGUUGCUACCACAAGGAUCCACAAAAAAAAAAAUGCAAAUGUUAAAGAGCUGCUACUACACAAACUGGACUAGUUAUAAGUCUGCUUCUACACCUGCUAAAUCACAAAAAAUCCAAAAAAAAAAAAUGCAAAUGUUAAAGAGCUGCUACUACACAGACGAGACUAGUUAUAUGUCUGCUACUUCACCUGCUGAACCACAAAAUCCAAAAAUAUUCUGAUACUGCAUUUAAUGAGAAAAAAAUCCUUGAAUUCUUUUGUUUUUUAUAACGAAACAAAAUCUGAAACAAAAUGAACCCGAAAAAAGGAAGUAUGCCGCUGCACCACAAAAGACCAUACUAAACGAUGAAAGUAUAUCAAUGAACCUAAAGGGCAGCGUGCCGCUGCACCGCCAAAAAANN
rnacentral:lncRNA from 1 species